AAUAUAACGUUUUCCACCCAAACUUUGAAUCCUAGAUGGUCCCAUCAAGUCCAUGUGAAGUAACUCUAGAGGUUUAGUUGUCCCUAAGUGGUUCAAGUUCUUAUGUGUGGAUCUAGUUUGUUUUCCUAAUUGACAACCCCCACACACAGUGUUCUCUUUAAAAUCAAUCUUAGAUACACCUCUAACUACCUCCUUCUUGGUUAUCUUUGAAAGCUCCUUAAAAUUGAUGUGACCUAGUCAUUCAUGCCAUAAAGUUUCAGUUUCUAACGACGCUAGGUUACAAUGUUCAGUGGACGAACUGGGAACUAUAUAACAAUUAUUCUGAGAUCUAAUGCCCUUUAAGAACAAAUUGUUAUCACGAGUCACAUGGCAUUCUUCAUCAGAAAAAUUCACAGAAUACCCAUCAUCACACAAUUGGCUUAUGCUUACGAGAUUAGAUUUAAGCCCCUCAACAUAGAAAACAUCGUUCAAAGUAGGGCCAUCUGAGAUAGUCACUGUUCCUUUUCCAACAAUUUUUGACGAUCGACCGUCCCCAAAAACAACAAGUCCUCCGGAGAUUUUGGUCAAAGAAGUAAACCAAUUUUUAUCUCCGGUCAUGUGACGGGAACAGCCACUAUCCAGAUACCAAGAUGAGUUAUCGUAAGCAUGAAGUGAAGUGUGAAUGACUAGGCAUGGGAAAAGUUCACCUUUGCGCACCCAAACCUUACGUGUUUUGGGUUGUGUCAGUUCGCGUGCUUUUGUUGAUCGUGGCUUGUCGACGAUUUGAAUUGACUUCCUCUUCAUAUCCUCCUUCUUUGGUUUCCAUGCUUGUUUUGCCUUUGGCCUCGGAGUAUAUGGUGUCUGAAUUUGGCUCUUCUUUUGUUCUAUCUUCUUUGGAAUCACAAUUGACUUCAUUGUCGUUUUAGGUUCACUCUUCAAGAGAGCUAUAGAGCUCCUUCCCUUUUGGUAGCAGAAUUUCUUUAUGUGUCCUAAAACACCACAAAUAUACAAGUUUUGUUAGCCAAAUUAUUUUUAGGAGGGACAAACUUACGAUAAAGUUUAGGUACAGCAGUUGACGAGUUUCCAUCAUCCUUCUUUGUAACUUGAUCAAUAUAUGUCCGUUCAUAACCAAGUCCAAGUUUAUUUGUCUGACCAAGUCCAAGCAUCUUAUCUAGUUUGCUCGAGCCAGAUGAAAAUUGGUUCAAAUCCGACUUCAGUUGAAUGAUCGUCUUGGUGAAUUCCAUAUUUGCUUCUCUAGCUUCUGAAUUUUGUUUGGUAAGAUACUUGAUGUUCUCCGCCUGAGUCUCCUUUUCUUUUUCAAGUAACGAACACUUCUCAAGCAAAGAAUUGUAAGCCUUGGUCAACCCAUCUCUCUCUUGUUCUAAAUCCUUUGUUAGAGAGGCCAACUUUGAAUUUUCUUGUUCCAACUCAUGUAGGCUACGCCGCAAUUUCUUGUUAUGUUUAGCCAUCUUCUUUGAUUCAACAACUAAUUGUUGAUAUGCUGCGAUCAUGUCAUCUUCGUCCGAUUCUUCAUCCGAUGAGUUCUCCGAAGAUGACUUCUCUUGUAUAGAUGUUGUAGAAAUCGAGUCAGUAGAUGCUAGACACAUGAAAGUUGAAUCCUGUGCAAACAGUGCCGUGGCAUUUACAUCCUCUUCGCUCGAAGUAGAAUCGUCAGAUGAGGAGUCGUCCCAAGUCAUAGCUUGCAUAGCUUUCUUUUUCAACGACUUUUUAUUAGGGCAGUCAGACGCUAUAUGGCCAAAGCCCCUACACUUGUAGCAUUGGAUUUGACCUUCACCGCUUUUCCUCUCUUUUGUGGAGUCCUUUUGAGAGUUAUCAGAUUUUCUGUAUUUUGACGAGGAAGAAGUAGACGGACCCCCUUUUGAUUUGUUUGUCUUUGAUGAAGUAGACUUGGGAGGAAACUUCUUUCUAAAGUUCCGACGGAACUUCUUUGUUAGAAGUGCGAGUUGUUUCUCAAAGUCCUCCAAGCUUUGCUCCGACUCUGAAUCUGAUGAGGUUGACGAGACAUCUCCUUUUGUUGAUUUUAGAGCCAUGCCUGAGGCUUUAGAAAAAGACUUGGAAGAAGACGAAUUAGAAGGAAAAGUCAUUUCAUACGUUUGAAGAGCACCAACUAAUUCAUCUACUUUGAGUUCAUCCGGAUGUUUUACCGUUUCAAUGGCCGCAACCUUGGGACGAAAACGUUCGGGAAGAGUUCUCAAAAUUUUUCGAACGAUUUUUGGUUCAGAAAUUUUUUCACCCAAAUUUGCACAAGUAUUGACAAUAUCUUGAAGACGAGUGUAAUACUCGGUAAAGGUUUCAUUUUCUUCCAUACGAAUAGCAUCAAAACGACUAGUCAACAUUUGUAAUUUCUGAACCUUUACCAAGCUUGUACCCUCGUGAGUGAUUUGUAAAGUGUCCCAAAUUUCUUUGGCGGUUUCACAUGCUGAUACUCGUGAAAAUUCAGUUUGAUUCAACGCAUUGAACAAAGCAUUGAUACCCUUCCCAUUGAACGAAGAUAGUUCGUUUUCGUCUUUUGUCCACUUAUUUCUAGGUUUCGGACCGGUGACAUUCUCGACCACUUCAGUAGGAUGUUUCCAUCCGAAUUCAACGGCUUGCCAAACCCGCUCGUCGAUAGCAAUGAGAAACGCCCUCAUACGGACUUUCCAAUAAGCAUAGUUAGUGCCAUCGAAGAGCGGGGGUCGAUUGAUGUUACCGCCCUCAGCCAUGAGUUACAACCUAUACCCGCUCUGAUACCACUUGUAAGAUAUGGAUCCCGAGGAUCUAAAAGGUAAGUAACACCUAGAGGGGGGGUGAAUAGGUGUAAAUCCGGCAAACUCGAAAAAUCUCGAUGCAAACAAAACACAAUAGCGGAAAUUAAAAUAGCACACCGAGAAUUUAACGUGGGAAAACUCCAAUUCGGAGUGAAAAACCCACGGGACCGAUCACGCAAAGAAAAUCCACUAAGAAAACUUGAGUACAAGUGAUUUCGACCAAAAACACACGACUCAAUUUACCGAUUUCUCGUUGACAAAAACCAGUGCGUCCCUCCCUGGCCAAGGAGUGAACUCUCUGGCCAGAGAGUGUCUGGCCAGAGGAGCUGUCCUGGCCAGAGACUCCUGCUGUGUCCAAAAACUUUAGCUGAAAAACGUUAGGAUCAGAUGAAGAUUCAGAAGAUUUGUAUAUUUAUUCGAUACACCCAGCAGAUUUUAAUUCCGAAACUAAUAAAAUGGUUAAGGUUUGGGAUCUUUGAGCAAAAGAAAGACAAAGUUACGAAGCUAGAUGUGUUACUCAAAGAUCGUUAGUUGUAGCCGAACUAAGAAGCAAAAAUGAGCUAUGAAAGAUGUUCUUAGUUCAUCUACUAACUAAUUUCCACUUGGGAGUAUCGAAUACCAAAAGUUUUCUAUUUAGUGGUGUUUAGAAGUUAAGAUGUUCGAGGCCUUCCUCCAAGCUGCGCACCUAGAGCGCACUUCGGCUCCUAAGCCACCUGCGAAGUUCCUCAACUCCGCAACUGCGACGCUCCUCAACGUCGUUCCAGCUAACCACCUAAGGAUAGCUAGCUCCUGGCCGUUUCUAGUGGNAGGAGACCGGUCUGUGAGAGACCGGUCUCUCAAGUGAGGAACCGGUCCCUCCCUGCGUGACCAAAAAAUCCCACGUUCGGGAACCGGUCUCUCAAACUUGAGACCGGUCCCUCGCUGCGCGACAGAACCACCAAGGUUCGGGAACCGGUCUCUCAUCACAGGGGACCGGUUGCAUCAAGGUUUAUGCAGUGAGGACCUUGGGGGAACCGGUCUCUCCAUUUCAGAGACCGGUCCCAGAACACAAGAAAGUUCAGAAAAUUUGUUUAAAAACAAUCUAAGCCUUCUGAACUUAUUUUAAUCAUGUAUCUUCACCACAAAUGAUCUUUUCUACAUACCUUAGGUGUCGUUCUUUCCGAAUGAGUCUUUGUCCUCCAAUUUGAAUCUUCUCUCAAAAACUUCUGCGAUCAACUCUUCAAGACUCCAAACAACUUUACGAAAUUCGCCAACCUAUAAAAUCCUUAACAUAUUCGAAGAUUGAUCUCCAGUUAGGUUAUCACCAAUUGAAAAUCAAGCCAAAGGAUGUGCACAAAAUGGCGUUUCAAACUCGUUAUGGUCACUAUGAGUUUACGGCGAUGCCAUUUGGGCUUACUAAUGACCCUGCUGCAUUUAUGGACCUAACGAAUCCGGAUUUCAAGCCGUUGUUGGAUCGGUGUGUCGUGAUGUUCAUAGACGACAUAUUGAUCUAUUCUCGGAGCAAUGAGGAGCACGAGGAGCAUUUGAGAACUAUGAUGCAAAUUCUUCGAGAAAAGAAGCUCUAUGUUAACCUAAAGAAGUGCGACUUUUGGCUUCAUGAGGUCGCCUUCUUAGGCCAUGUUAUUUCCGAGGGUGGUGUAUCGAUUGACUCAAGAAAAGUUGAGGCGAUAAAAGAUUGGCCUCACCCGACGAGUGUUGCGGAGAUCCGCAGUUUCCUUGGUCCUACGGAUUAUUAUCGGCGGUUCGUGGAGGGGUUUGCUAAAAUUAUUACUCCACUAACGCACCUUACGCACAAAGGAGCCAAGUAUGCAUGUUUGGAGCGAUGAAUGCGAUCGAAGCUUUCGGGAGCUAAAGGAGAGAUUAACUUCUACUCCUAUACUCGCCUCGUCGAUUCCGGGGGAGAGUUUUGUGGUGUAUAUGAUGCCUCCUAUAACAGUCUUGGGUGUGUUCUAAUGCAGUGCGCGCGAUUUAUUGCUUAUGCAUCCCGCCAGUUGAAGAGCUUUGAAAAGAACUACCCUAUUCAUGAUCUCGAGUGAGCCGCGGUGAUUUCGCGUUGAAGCUUUGGAGGCAUUAUCUUUAUGGUGAGUGUUGGGAGGUUUAUACAGAUCAUAAAAGCCUCGAGUACUUAUUCACCCAAAAGGAGUUGAACAUGCGGCAUCGGCGGUAGUUGGAAUUAUUGAAGGACUAUGAUGUCACUAUUCUAUACAAUCCGGGGAAAGCCAAUGUAGUGGCUGAUACACUUAGUAGAAAGUCGGUGGAAAAUCUUGCCAUGGUUAUUACACAUCAACCGUCGUUGUGUAAUGAAAUGCGGCGGUUUGAUCUUAAUGUUGUAGCUCCAGAGGUUCCGGCUAUUCUUGGUUCUCUAGUUGUGCAACCGACCUUGUUAGAGAAAAUAAAAGAACGGCAAUCUUCAGAUUCGUAUCUCCAAAAUGUGCGGCGUGAUAUUGAGAGCGGGCGCGCCUGUGAUUUCGGUAUAGGAUCCGACGGCGCACUUCGGUUUCAGAACCGUUAGUGCGUUCCAAAAGACAAGAAGGUUCAAAAGGAGAUAUUGCAAGAAGCUCACCAAUCUCCUUAUAGUGUGCAUCCGGGCGGUACCAAAAUGUACAAAGAUCUCAAAAUACAUUAUUGGUAGCCGGGGAUGAAGAAAGAUAUUGGACAGUUUGUGGCGCAGUGUUUGACAUGUCAACAAGUUAAGGUGGAGCGCCGCUUUCCAGCAGGCAAGUUGCAAAGCCUACCUAUUUUCAUUUGGAAGUGGAAAGAUGUGGCGAUGGACUUUGUGAUAGGUUUACCCCAAUCACAAGCCGGACAUGAUGCUGUAUGGGUUGUGGUGGAUCGUUUGACGAAAUCGGCACAUUUUUUGCCGAUUCACACCACUUGGUUCGGGGACAAAUUAGCACAAGUCUAUCUUGAUGAAGUUUUGAGAUUGCAUGGGGUUCCGACAUCUAUAGUAUCAGAUCGAGACCCCGGUUCACUUCUCACUUUUGGAAGAACUUGCAAGAUGCUCUUUGUACACGGCUCGAUUUUAGCACGAUAUUUCAUCCUCAAAGUGACGGGCAAUCGGAGAGGACGAUUCAAAUUUUGGAGGAUAUGCUUCGGGCGUGUGUACUUGACUAUAAGGGUGGUUGGCAUGAUUACUUGUCGAUGGCCGAGUUCACAUACAACAAUAGUUAUCAAGAAGUAUUACGAUGGCGCCAUUUAAGGUCUCUACAGGAGAAAAUGCCGAUCCCCUAUACAUUGGAGUGAUGUGGGUGAAAGGAUUACUCUUAGUCCAGAUGUGUUGCGGGAGGCAGAAGAAAAAGUUCACCUUGCUCGCCAAAGGCUGUUGACGGCGCAGUCGCGACAACAAAGUUAUACUAAUGUGCACCGGAGAAGUCUAGAUGUAAAGAAGUGAAUUCUCGAAAUACGAGAAUUGAACUUCUGUUAGAAUCGACUAAUUGUUGAUUGGGUGUGCUUCGGAGAAGCCGAGGACAUCAAAAAUGCGAAAUGUGCAUUAUAGAUGGUCUCGAAAGCCAGUUGUGCAAAUCAGCUCCAUUGCAGAGUUUUUGCUCUCGGGGACCGGUCCCUGGUGGGAGAGACCGGUCCCCGUAGGCAUGGUGUGCGGCAGAAAAUCUCUGUGCACAAGUUUUGCUCUUGGGGACCGGUCCCUGGUGGGAGGGACCGGUUUCUGUAAGCAGGGGUGCGGCAGAGAAAACUCUGCGCGCAAUGUUUGCUCUCGGGGACUGGUCCCCGUACGCAUAGAAAUUGGCAGAAGAGCUCUGCCCGCAGAAGUUGCUCUCGGGGACCGGUCCCUCUAGGGACAGACCGGUCCCUGCAACCCGAAAAUGCCCAGGCUGGGCUGUGUCAUAUGAGGCAAGUUGAGGGGUUUUUAUGCAAUUGUAGCAUCAGUGAGGGGUAUAGAGGGGAGAUCACUCUCUCCCUCUCUCAUUUCUCUCCCAACACCAACCAAAUACCUCUCUCUCUCUAAGCUCUCUCUCUCUCUCUCUCUCUCUUGAAGUGAAGAAGGAGAAGAAGGAAAGGAAGGAGAAGAAGGAGCAAGCAAGGAGAAGGGUUUUCAUCAUCUCCACCAUUGGAGCAAGCUUGAAAGGUAAGCUUUAAAUCCAACAAUGGUAGAAACCUAGGAUUUGGAUUUAUAGCUCUAGAAAUGGUUUGAUUAGUACUCUAGCAUGCUUAAUAGGUGUUUAAUGCUAGAAUCUAGAGUUCUUGUUGAAGUAUUUGCAUAGAUGCAAACCUAGGGCUCCAAAAAAGGGGUUUUUGGAAAUCGAUGGGUUUGAUCUCAAUUGAUGGCAUCUAAACCUAAUUGAUAGGUGUCUAAGCGCGUGGGUGAAGUCGGAAUCGUGAUUCAUCGAGUCGGUGAGAAGAUAUCGGCAAAAAGAGGCCAAUUGAGCUUCGUUUCUACCUGGGAGGUCGAGACGACGUCAUAACAAUCACCGAAUAGCAUUCCUAGUGCCUCCACAUCGUCGAAAGGUGGGUGGUGUCAUCCCGAAGCAAAUCGGGUUCCUCUCUAUGUCUUAGUGCAUCAUGAUUUCGCAUCUCUUAUACAUAUGCAUUGUAGGAUUGCAUUGUUUUCCAUUCCUUAUGCUUUCUAGGUGAUAUCAUAGUGUGAGUCGAAUGCUUGGUAUAUUGGAUAGAUAAGGAUUGGGUCGUAACAUUGGAUCCUAUAGUGCCGAGGAGAGAGAGUCUCGAUGAUUGUUUAAAGACAUAGCGAGUGGCAUGUGAACACUGAAUGGGAACCGGACAAGUGGCAUUAACUUAGUGUAAAGUGACACUAGUAAAUUGUGAACUUAGGGAUAGGUGGACUUCCUAGUGGUGACUCGUUGAACAAGAACAUAGUGUAGUCUAACACUUGUAUAUGGACAUUGGGAUAGGUGGAUUCCGAGUGAUUGCUAGCCCUAGCUCGUAGGGUAUCCUCGAGUUGAGAGGAUUGGAUCAUACUCACAGUCUAUUUUAUACUUGUGGUGGUCGCGCCACACAAGUCGUCGUGCAUUCCAGAGUUUGGCGCGAGAGGGGCAGAGUUGAUGUCCCACAGAUGGUCUCGGGUUUGAGAGCGAGGUGCGUCUUCUUAACUUACGAGAUGGCGAGGUGAGUCGUGGGCGAACCUAAGGAUCGCCAAUGAUUGGGUAAACAAGAGAAUACCACUGUUUAUUAGACAUUUACUCAUUAGACAUUGCUUAGUGGACAUAGUGGCAUGUUGAUAGAUUACUUACUAUGUGACGCAUGCAUACAUUACUUUUGAUUGGGUAUAGUAGCUUAGUUUUCUUACUAUGUCGUUUACUGCUUCCCUUAUCUAUCUAUCUAUCUAUCUAUCUGCUUUUGCCCACUCAGACCUAGUUGGGAGACCGACGGAGUCGGCGGCCGAACCCACUGGGAACUAUGGACAAUAGUUCUCACCCCACUAUGUUGCAGGGCCUAGUACGAGCACGCUGGGCGAGGACCGCGACAAGGGCAUAGCGCCCGAGCAGUAGCAGUUUAGUAGCUUUCCUAUUUUGCAUCAGCAUCACCCUAUGUGUAUGAGUGACUCAUGUCAGUGGGGAUUCGGAGAGCUAUUGAUGUAUUUGGUGAUGAUCUAGUAGACAUGUAUUCAUUUUGGAAAAGAUAUAAGUGUAACUUGAUGUAAAUGAAUGCAAUGUGAUGUAAUAGCUAGUAGAUCUCUCUUUUGUUCACUUGUAUGUACUCGUGACUCUUGCUCUUACUUGUUAGCACUUGUGGUGCUCUUCGUUGAUCAUGUAUGUAUGAAUUUCUUUUCCUGGGCAAAUUCUUGUACAUGAUCAGGUUGCUUAGCCUUGGGCGGACAGGGGAGGUGCUGUCCAUUCGGCAUCUGUUUGACGUGCCCGAACUGGACCAAAUUGGUAGCGGUCUCGAGGCGUGACAGAUAAAUUGGUAUCAGAGCAAGUUAAGAGCAAGUAAAGAGAGAGUCUAGGAUUGAUAUAGGAGACCCUAGGAUGGAAACCUUAAGGCUAUAGGUGCGUGAGUGAGACGUGAACCUAUGGCGGUGGCGGAAGUGAUUCGAUUGGGUCGAAGUUGGUGUUAUGUCUCAAGUAGUUGCUAGAGAUGGAUUCAAGUGGUAUUAGUUUUGACUUAAGGUGGUUAUAUCGGCGGCCGACAGCAUGACGCCAAGAGUCUAGAACGAGUACACUUGUGUGCUUUCGCCCGAUUCUAUCGUUGAUUCAUUUUGUGUCGUAGACGCAACGAAGUAAUCGGGUUAAGGUAAUUAACCAAGUGCUUGCGUUUCAGAAGCUAAUGGCACCAAAGAGAUGCUACACGCGCAGAUCGGUUCUGACACCGCCUCCCGAGGUGCCAGGGCAAGCUGGACUUCCCCGGGUGCCUGAGCCUCCUGUGGUGCCUGCGCAAGCCGGGCCAAGUGAGAUGUAGCAGUUGCGUGCCAAGUGACUGCACUAGCUGGUCAGUUUGGAAGGCUCCAAGAGCUAAUGGAGCGGCAGUUGGCAGCGGCGGCUGCGACGGCAACGGAUGGUCGUGAUCCACCCACACCCUCGACGAGUCUGCUUGAAGCAGCUAAGGGUGAGGGUAUAGCAGCGGUUCUGGUGGCGACACGUCCCCCACCGGCAAUUGUUCCUCCGGCGGCUUCAGGUUUGGUAACACCCGAUGCAGCGGCCGAGGAAUUGGAACGGGAACGUGCGUUGGCGGCUCUCAUCAAGUUCAAGAAGUUCAAUCCGCCCAUUUUUGAAGGGAAGAAAGUGGAGCCAUCGAUGGUGGAGUCGUGGGUCGACUCAAUGGAGACUCUCUUUGAGGACCUAUACACUUUGGAGAGAGACAAGGUGUAUCUCGCUACACAUUGCCUGGAGAAAGCAGCGAAAGUAUGGUGGAAGCGAGUAAAGCGAGACCGGCCUUCUGGCCUUCCACCGAUGUUAUGGGAGGAGUUCAAGAAGGCGAUAUUCGCCAACUAUUUCCCGACACGGUGAAGCGGAAGCUCCAGGAGAAGUUUCGCAAGUUAAGGCAAGGGGACCGCACCGUGGCGGACUAUGAGCAGGAGUUCUUCCAUAUCAUAGAUUGUGUCCCGGAUGUGGUUCGAGAUGACCGGGACCGGACCGACUGGUUCUUGCGAGGACUUCGGCCGGGAAUCUAUAAGGCCGUGUAGAAAUUCAAGCUCACGACAAGCUCACGACCUUCGUGGAGGUUUUUGAUCGAGCACUGUGGGUGGAGCACGGUGAUGCCCAUGUGCGUGAGGAGCGUGAGCUGUUGGCCGAGUCCAAGGACAAAGGGAAAAAACGGCAAGGCGGCCGUUCGGGGGGACAAGCAAGCUCCAAGAAGCCCCCGAAGUAUCCGCGGACUCAGUACAAGGGCCGUGGAGCGCGACGAUGUGUCAUAUGCGGUGGAGACCACCAACCGUCGCAUUGUGACGAGCUCCAGGGCAAGUGCUUCAAGUGCGGGCAGCCGGGGCACUUCAUACGUGACUGCCUGGGAGGAGGAGCCUCGCCUGCUCUAUCUAUCGCAUUGGCGCCGGCAGCUCCAGCUCAUUAUAGAGGAGCUCCGCUGACGGCUGCGUCAGCGGGACACGCGAUGGCGCCGCGUCAGCUUGAAAUGAGGUGAUCGGCUCCGAGCGGGCGGGUGUUUGCCGAUCAAGCGCAAGCCGAGGAACCUGCCGAGCCAGAGGAGCACCCCAUUGUGGCAGGUAUGGUUUUAAUUAACGGAGUUCGUUCCAGAGCUAUGUUUGAUAUAGGUGCCACGCAUUCAUUUAUCAGUAGGUCAUUUGCACGAAUGCAUGACAUAGACAUACGAGAGUGUGAUGGCAUGUGGCGAGUAGAGGGCCCUGGACCUGCACUUCAUAUUUAUACAAAGUGCCCAACGUGUCGAGUACAAAUAGGUGACUGGAUAAUGCCAAUCCGAACGUUGGUGCUCAAGAAGUUGAAGGACUUCGAUGUUAUAUUGGGCAUGGACUGGCUCUCGAAAUACUACGUGUCGAUCGACUGUAAGAGUAAAGUGAUCACGUUUCGUAAGCCAGGACAGAAAGAGUUUACCUACCGAGCUUGCAAGAGCUCGUGCUUCGCCGCGACGGUGUCGGCGACGAGGGCAAAGAAGUUAGUCAACAGCGGUUGCGCGGUUUAUUUGGCGACCGUUGUGGAGGUUGACCGAGUGGCUCCGACCCUGGAAGAGUUAUUGGUGGUGCGGGAGUUCCCGGACAUAUUUCCGGUGGAGUUGUCGGGGAUACCGCUGGAUCGGGAGAUCGAGUUCGUCAUAGACUUGAUUUCCGGUACCGCGCCGAUUUCGAAGGCCCCGUAUCGAAUGGCACCGGCAGAACUGAGGGAGUUGAGGGAUCAAUUGCAAGACCUCCUUGACAAGGAGUUUAUCCGGCCAAGUGUAUCACCGUGGGGAGCCCCAGUGUUAUUUGUGUGGAAAAAGGAUGGAUCAUUUCGACUCUGUGUGGAUUAUCACGAGCUGAACAGAGUCACGAUCAAGAACAAGUACCUAUUACCCCGAAUCGACGACUUAUUUGAUCAGUUGAAGGGGUCGUGUGCGUACUCAAAGAUAGACUUACAGUCCGGCUAUCACCGGUUGAAAAUUAAGCCGGAGGACGUACAGAAGACCGCGUUCCGCACGCGGUAUGGACACUAUGAAUUCACGGUCAUGCCAUUUGGGCUUACGAAUGCCCCGGCGGCGUUCAUGGAUUUGAUGAACUGUGUCUUCAGGGAGUUCUUGGACCGAUUUUUCGUGGUCUUCAUAGACGACAUAUUGCUCUAUUCUUGCAGCGACGAGGAACAUGCCGAGGAUUUAGGGCAUAAAACCAAGCCCUAGCCUAGUUCUUACGAGAAACCUCACCUUAGCCUAUGAACUCCACAAGCUCCACCUUGUAGGAGAGCUCUAGAUCCUCCAAAAGCUCAAAAAUCUCCUCUAGAUCUCCUCCAAUCUCUUCCUUUCACUUUAAGGAAGAGCUCCUAGAGAGAGAGGGAGAAAAAUGAGAGAGGAGAAGGUAUUUUUGGCCGUGAGAGAGAGAGAAGGGGUGUGGGACCUUAUAUAGGCUGCUACAAUUGCAACCAAGCCCUCCCUAUUUUCUUUUAUUUGCGGCAGACUCAACCUACUGUUUCGGGCAUUGCGUACCGGUACGCCCCCUGUUCAACAGCCCAACCCGAGAGCUGCUGUUCUCGGGUUGCCACGGGGUACCGGUAUGCUUUGAUUUGUCACCAGUUUAACGAUUAUGCAGCAGUCAAACCCGAGAGCUGCCCUCUCGGGUAGCAGACCUGGUACCGGUACGCACCAGGGGUGUCACCGGUUUAACAGCCUUAAACUCUCAAACCCGAGAGCUGCUGUUCUCGGUUGCCUACCUGGUACCAGUACGCACCAGGGGUGUCACUAGUUUAACAGCCUUAAACUCUCAAACCAAAGAGCUGCUGUUCUCAGUUGCCUGCCUGGUACCGGUACCACUCCAAUGUAUUACUGGUUAACAAUGCUCCAGACUGCAAUUUCGCAUUGUUUCAACCCGAUCAACGCUAAAACCCUUUAAUCUCUCUUUAAACUCAACUUUAACCCUUUCAACAUGGUUGGAAUGUUAAACGGACCAUGCCCAAACAUUCUUCUCGCCACGCAUUGGUCAUUUUGACUAAAAGUGGUUUAAUACGACAAGGUUCCACUUUCUUACAGGUACCCGAUUUCCAGUACCUCAAAACCCGAACGUUGAACUCUCAACUUUCUACUGUGUACCGAUACUCGAUUUCCAAUAUCGGUACCCAAUACAAUUUUAGUACCGGUACUCAGUUGCGUAUCAGUACUCAGAUUCCAGCAUUGACACUUAAUACAAAAUCUGUAACUUAGGCAGAUUUCAACUUUUGGAGCCCGUUUUCGCAUCUGGUUUGCGACGAAAAUAUUCGAAUGCUCCCCAAACUUCACCGGAACUAUUUUAAUAGCUUUUUAAGCUAGUUCCCACCAAAACUUCAUAAUUGUAGAAAUUCGGUAUAUUACACUUUGAUACCACCUUAGUCUGUCACGCUCCGCUAUCUCUUUCCCUAAUAGGUAGAAGAAGGUUCGCACGGGCGCAUGUGCCAAACUCGUUGACUGGACAAUUUCCCUAUCUGCCCAAGGCGUCAUAAGCAGUACAAUUCAAAAUAUUCCAAACAGUAAUAGAAUUCGUAUACUGAUUGUGUAAGCAAAGCAUCAUAACAUAAAACAUCUAUACUAUUACAAGCAUUCGUCCCAUCCAAAUUACAUAUUACAUUUUUCUUUCCAAAUACAACCAAAUUGUUAUUAUAAUUUCUCUCUUUUCUUUUUAUACCUUUAAACUACACUGUUUAGAGUACAUCUAUCUUUGACACAAUGGCAAGACGCUAACUAUCAAGUUAUGCCCUUUUCUCGUGCCGCAACGCCUCUCACGUGUGGACCUAUAAAACAUAGGGGUGAAAACUAUAAAUAUAGUUUCUAGUAGAUACGGCCACCCAAGGGAAGAGCUUGACACCAGGUGCGACAUAAGCAGGUUAGUAUACAACAUGUAACUAUGUAAGCAUAUAACUCUACUAUAUGCAAUUAAAAAAACAUCAUGCUUAUACAAUAAUGAAAUUCAUACAAGUAGAUUGUAAUGCAUUGAAAAUUUAUCUCGAGCUAAUUGUGAUCAAAGUGGUCGCAAUAAUGUUAAAAUGAAAAUUAAGUUUUUCUAAACUUAAUUAGUAGCUUGAGAAAAUAGGAAAUAGGAUCAACCUAUUUCAGGUUUUUAUCCCUAUUCCAUAAUUCACCUAUAUACUAUACUACAUAUAGCUCUUUAUAGUUUAAUCCAUGGUUAUAUCAACUCCAUAAGCUAAAUUAUGCAUAAUUUAACUUUCUUAUACAGCAAUUAGCAUCAUUCCCAUUCAGGAAUUUGAGCUAACUUACUCCAAAUUUCAUUCUUAAUAAGCUAGGCAUAUAUAUGUAUAUAUAUAUAUAUAUAUAUAUAUANAAUAAUAAUAAUAAUAAAUAAAAAAAGAUGGGAACGGAAAAGGAGGCGCCGUAUAAAGGAUCUGUGAGGAAGGCAUCGUGACCCGUCUCUUCCGAUAGAGUUUUUGAUCUCUCUCUCUCUCUCUCUCUCUCUCUCUCUUUUCCAGUAUAUUAAUUCUCUCCAUUUUUCUCCACCUCGAAUUAUCUAGACUCAUCCAGAUCUCUUAAGCUCUAGGGUUCUUGGAUAUAUAUAUAUAUAUAUAUAUACAUGGAUAUGCUAUAUUUUUUUUUUAUAAUCCCUAGGCUUUCUACAUACUAUUACAUACAAGCCUUUAAUCAUAUAAAACCCUCUCAUAGGUAGUUAGAACAAACCUUAAUUAAGAUCUCAACCAACUUAAGUCUCGUUCAUAUUUCUAACCAAUAAUUCAUAUGCAUUCUUUCCAAUAUAUAGCUUAUUAGAGAUUUGCUCAUGGUGAUAUAAGCUCUAAAAGCUAACUAUCCACUUGUUCAACUCAUUCUAGAGUAGAUAACAUCACUCUAAUUAAGAAAUAUUCUAAUUCAUACCUCAAUUUCAUUCUUUCUAGCUGAAUCCCUGCUCACUAGCCUCUUCUCAGCUCACAAUACCCAAAUUCACUAAACUCUUCUUCAAAAACCAUUCUAGUGCUUUAGAGAAAGAGAGGAAGAAAAAGCUAAAAAAAAAGAGGUGAGAAGAUAAGCUCCCAUACGUAUGAAGCUGCUGGGGUUGUUGGCUGUAGAUAAGACUAAGAAAAAAUGCAAUUAAGCCCUUACACAAUGCUGCAACUGCAGUUUUCACAAAACAGUCCCUGCAGUUUACGAAACAGUCCCUGCAGUUUACAAAACAGUCCCUGCUGGCAGCCGCAGCCUUGGCAGCCCAUUUCUCACUUCUAGCUCGCUCCGACUUCAUCCCAACACUUCCAAAACAUGCUAAUCUCUAUGCCCAAACUACCAAUUUAAUUUGGAAGUAUUUAAUUUUCAAUUUUGUAUUAAUUUGAUCAUUUUGACCAAAUCGCCUAAAAAUUUCAGCUUUAGAGUAGCAAUAGCAAUUGGAGGUCUUUAGCCACUUUGAUUCCAUUCGUGUCUAUUCUCAUACUUCCAAAACAUGUCAAUUGCUGUUCUCAAGCUACUAAUUAAGUUUAGAAAAACUUAAUUUUCAUUUUAACAUUAUUGCGACCACUUUGAUCACAAUUAGCUCGAGAUAAAUUUUCAAUGCAUUACAAUCUCCCCUCCUUAAACAGUUUCGUCCUCGAAACUUAAAUUCAUACCUUAGUCCUCUUGAUCGAAUAGAUGGGGAUAGGAUUCACGCAUAGCUUCUUCCAAUUCCCAAGUGGCCUCUCGUCCUGAGUGAUUACUCCAUUGUACUUUCACGUAGGGAAUAGUGCGAUUUCGCAGUUCUCGCGCUUCUCGAUCAAGGAUGCAUACUGGAUACUCUUCAUAAGUCAUAUCCUCUUGUAAAUCUACAGGCUCGUACUCCAUAACAUGCCCUGAAUGAUGCACAUAUUUUCGAAGAUUCGAAACAUGAAAUACAUUGUGAAUUCCUUCAAACUUCGACGGUAAGGCCAAUCUAUAAGCUACCGCUCCAACUCGCUCUAGGAUCUCGUAAGGUCCGAUGUAUCGAGGGCUAAGCUUUCCUCGAACACCAAACUCUUUAUCCCGCGCAUUGGCGACACCUUCAAGAACACCUUAUCGCCAACCGCAAACUCCAAGUUCUUUCGGCAUUUAUUCGCAUAGCUCUGCUGCCGUGACUGAGCCGUCAACAAUCUUUGGCGGACUAGGCGUACCUUUUCCUCCGCCUCCUGGAGUACAUCAGGACCAAGAACCAUUCUUUCUCCUACUUCACUCCAAUGGAUAGGGGAUCGAUAUUUUCUCCCGUAGAGAGCUUCAAACGGUGCCAUUGUGAUGCUUUCCUGAUAACUAUUAUUAUAUGCAAACUCAGCCAUCGCUAAGAAAUCAUGCCAACUCCCUCUGAAGUCAAGUACACACGCCCGUAGCAUGUCCUCCAAUAGGGACUGUUUUGUAAACUGCAGGGACUGUUUCGUAAACUGCAGGGACUGUUUUGUGAAAACUGCAGUUGCAGCAUUGUGGAAGGGCUUAAUUGCAUUUUUUCUUAGUCUUAUCUACAGCCAACAACCCCAGCAGCUUCAUACGUAUGGGAGCUUAUCUUCUCACCUCUUUUUUUUUAGCUUUUUCUUCCUCUCUUUCUCUAAAGCACUAGAAUGUACAUCCAGGUGGCACUAAGAUGUACAAAGAUCUUAAAGUGCAUUAUUGGUGGCCUGGAACGAAGAAGGAUGUUGGACAGUUUGUAGCGCAGUGUUUGAUUUGUCGGCAAGUUAAAGCUGAGCGCAGAUUUCCCGCGGGAAAGUUACAGAGCUUGCCUAUUCCAGUCUGGAAGUGGGAGAACAUUGCGAUGGAUUUCAUUAUUGGAUUACCUCGAUCACAGGCUGGACAUGACACUAUUUGGGUGAUUGUUGAUCGACUGACGAAAUCGGCGCAUUUCUUGCCGAUUCAUGUUACUUGGUCAGCGGAAAUUACACAGUGUACUCGACGAGAUUGUGAGAUUACACGGAGUCCCGACGUCGAUUGUGUUCUGAUCAGACCCCGCGGUUUACAUCUCACUUCUGGAGGAGUUUGCAGGAUGCUCUGGGGCACACGUCUUGAUUUUAGUACAGCUUUUCAUCCUCAGACCAUGGACAGUCUGAGAGGACGAUUCAGAUAUUGGAGGAUAUGCUACGGGCUCUUUAGUAUAGCCCUUUGAACCUGCCUCGUCUUUUAGGUACGCACAACCGGUUGCGAAACCGUAGGGCACCGUCAGAAUCCACCAUAAACUCAUCCCUCGCCGCUCUCAACUUCACACCCACUUUUUGGAGGUACGGAUCUAAAGAUUGCUGAUCUUUAAUCCGUUCCAAUAAAGUCGGUUUGAACAACUAGGCGCAGAAUAGCUGGUACAUCUGGAGCCUACUACUCAAGAUCAAACCGCCGCAUUCAUUCCUGCAAGGACGGUUGAUGCGUGAUCAUCAUAGCCAAGUUCUCUACCGACUUCCUACUCAAUGCAUUCUGCAACCACAUUCGCCUUUCCUGGGUGGUAUAGAAUAUUAACAUCAUAAUCUUUCAACAAUUCUAAUACGGCUGUCGCAUGUUCGCUCUUUUUUUUUGUUGGUGAAUAUAUUCAGGCUCUUGUGAUCAAGUAUAAACUUCACAAUGCUCGCCAUACAAGGUAAUGUCCUCCACAACUUCAGUUGCGAAGAUCACCGCCGCAAUCCAAAUCAUGAAUAGAUAAUUCUUUUCAUAGUUUCUUCAAUUGGCGAGACGCAUACAACUCACUCGACCACCUUGCAUAAGUACAACCCAAGCACUGUAGGAAGCGUCACUAUAGAUCACAAAACUCUCCCGAAAUGGCAAGGCAAGAAUAGGAGUUCGAAGUCAACCUUUCUUUCAACUCCCUAAAGCUACGAUCACAUUCUUCGUCAUCCAAACAUACUUAGUUCCUUAUGAUGUAAGGCGCGUUAAUGGAGUAGUAAUCUUCGCAAACCCUCCACGAACGCCUAUAGUACCUGCUAAUCCAAGGAAACUGCGGAUCUCUGGAACAGUCGUCGGGCGAGCCAAUCUUAAUUGCCUCCACUUUCUUUGGGUCAACGGCUACACCCCCUCAGAAAUCACAUGCCCCAAAAAAUGCGACUCUCCAGGCCAAAUUCACUUUCUUCAUUUGGCAUAUAACUGUUUCUUCCGUCAAAGAAUUUGCAUCACCGUUUCAAUGUUCUUUAUGCUCCUCAUUACUUCGAGAAAAGAUCAGAUAUAUAUCUAAAAUACCACUACACACUGAUCGAUCAACAGCGGCUUAAAGAUCCUAUUCAUCAGAUCCAUAAAUGCUCAGGGGCAUGGUCAGCCCAAAACGGCAUCACUGUAAACUCGUAAUACCAUAACGAGUGCGAAACGCUGUCUUGUGCACAUCUUCUGGUUUGAUCUUCAGUUGGUGUAACCCGGAUUGAAAUCAAAUCUUCGAAUACACUCGUGAACCUUGCAACUGACAAAUAAAUCAUCGAUUCGCGGCAACGGAUAUUAUUCUUGAUUGUGAUCUUGUUCAGGUUCACGAUAAUCAACACACGUCGAAGCGUUCCGUCUUUUCUUCUUUACAAACAAAACAGGAGCUCCCCAGGGUGAUACACUAGCUUCACAAAGCCUUUAUCCAUCAAGUCCUGUAACUGAGCUUUCAACUCUCUCAACUCAGCAGGUGCCAUUCUGUACGAGCCUUCGAAAUUGGCGCCGUUCCGGAACCAAUGUCAAUAACGAACUCAAUUUCCCCGAUCCGGCAGCAAUCCCGUAACUCCGCGCAAGAAAUACUCAGGAAACCCUCGAACCACUGGAAUAUCACUCAGUGCUGGAAGUUCCUUUUGAGUCUCCACUACAGUCCGCCAAAUAGGCCGCACAUCCAUACUAAUCAACUUUCUCGCCCUCGUCGACGAUACAGUCAGUGCGAAGACGAACUCUUGCACGCUCGAUAUACAACUUCCUUCUGCCCGGUUCACGAAAAGUAAAUUUUACUUUCACAAUUAAUCGUGGCAUAGUACUUUGCAAGCCAAUCCAUUCCAAGGAUCACAUCAAAGCCUUUCAUGGCGCUAGCACUAGCAAGUCUGCUGGCAUAAAUCCAAUCACCAACCUUAUGGACACGCCACACAACACUUCGUGGACACUAAAUGUGUUCUCAGGGGCAUAUACCCCCAGGCAUCAGCACUAUCCGAAAUCUCAAUGUCAUGCGUCUUAGCAAAUGAGCUACUGAUGAAUGAAUGCGAUGCACCUGUGUCAAUAAAUGCCCGAGAUCUAGGCCAUAAAAGAUAAACAAUACUGCCACGACGUCUCAACUGGCCGCUCCUCUACCUGGGCUGCAAAUACACGACCACUCGGUCAGAUCCGAGUGUUGUGCAUACGGGUAUCGGUCAAUCGAGAUGGCUCGUACUAACACGCGGCAUUCCAAAAUACGUCCAGCUAACAUAGCAGGCGGUCAGCCAACGCUGUCUGGAGGGUGACUGGACUGAAACUGUGCGACCUUCGUGCAUGGUGAUGCCCCCGGGCAAUCAACUAAUCAUAAUGUCCGCUGCUACCACAUGCUGACAUACUAUCGUUCCUCCGCUGUGGACAAGCACUCCGGUCCAUUGAUUUCCGACCGCAGAUAUCACACAUCUCCGGGGUCACUGAUACCCACGACUGAGAACCUGUGUGACUGCCGAGGGGCCGUUUGUGAUCAGACUUGUCCCGGGCACAUCCAAUAGUGGUCUUCUUUUUUCUCCUUUUUCUCUUUCUUCGUUCCUUUUCAAACGAUUCGCGUUCAUUCACGCGCAAUCGCAUUCCCGCGCUCCAACCUCCAAAUGAGCUCGAUACUUAGAACUUCCUCAAAAUUUUCUUAACUAGGCAUUGACUGUCCUGAUAUGUCCGUCGCUACCCCUCCUCAAAACUGCCCUCGAUCUACGAUCCGUAUGAACAUCCCAGGUACACAGUUCACCAAAUUGAGUAAAUUCCCAUUCUACUCCCGUCCCGAAACGUUUCCACUUCUCACUUGCCGGAAGUCUUCCUUCAUGUUUCCUUUUAUCACUGUCGGGAAAUACUUCCGUAAUAACCUCUCUCGAAACUCCUACCCAAGUGAGCGGCUGGUAGGUUUGUGCCCGCUUUCUUCUUGGCCUUUGCCCACGAAUUAGCAUCUUUCUCAAGCAGUGUGCCCGCAAAGAAACCUUAUCCCUUUCAAAUGUAAAUAAUCCUCGAAUAAGGCCUCCAUCGCUGUAGCCAUGUCUCUAUCUACCCACGGAUCUUCUCUUUUCCAUCACACAUAGGCGAUUAAACCGGCAUAAAAUCCUCUAGUCGACCUUUAUAAAUCGCAGCGCCAGCUCAGCUUCUAAACUGCGGUCACGACAUCAAAAUAGAGACCCAGAACCACUGGAAGGAACAGUCGUCGAAACCAGAGAGCCACGAUCGUCGGCGCCUCAGAUACACGGUCAAUUCAUGAUCCAGGUGCUCUGUUCGUCGCCCUGUCGCGACAUUAGAUCCUGUAAACUCUUUUAUGCCUCCUCUGUCCUCUUCAUACCCCCACCAACUGGUACGCUAACCCUGACCGCAACUCCUGAACUUCAUAGCCCAGACUGCUCUGGCAACCUCAGAAGUGAUUGUCCGAAUCGAUCUCGUCGCAACGUGCGCGGGCAUAUUCUCCUUGAAACGAACUAUUCCAUUAACGUAAAACUAGAAACGCAAUCAGUGGCUAACGCAAUCAACUUACUUAUAUCCAAUCCCUUAGUUUAUGUGUUGCCACCAACUCAUAACUCUUUUUAGUUGCAUAUAAAUAACCACUUGAUCAUGUCCUAAUUAACAAUUAGAGAACUUAUGAUAACACUAACACCAAUUUUUUAAGCUUUCGCUUAUCAUUAAAUUCUACGCCACUUCGCCGUGUCCUAGUCCCAGUUUCCAACCUUAAUCCGCUUAGUCAUCCAGACUUUUACUAUCAACUUCUGCUGAUACACUCUACUGUCACGUCUCCGCUAUCGCCGUUUGGUCGAAUUUCGGUGCCCGUCACAGACGCCGAACGACAGAACUCCUCUGUCCCGGCCAAGGCUCAACAACAAUAGUACAGUGUAUAAAGUAAAUAAACAAUUCCCAGAUAACAUUUCAAUAUACAUGGCUUGCACAGGCAAGCAACAAACACAAUGGAUAUAAGGCUAGCUAUAAUCGAAAAUUCACUGUAUUAAAACUUUUAAACUACACUAACACUAAUGAAUAACUAAAAAUUUAUUAUUUACAUGCUCUUAACCUCAUUACAGUUUCCGUACAUCAAAAAGUAUACAAUGAAAUCCAAAAUGGAAUAAACUACUAUAUACUGGUGCAAACUACUAAGGCUGCAGGCUCUUGCCACGAAUCCCUCGCCACACCCGCUCGCACUGGCAACCUGAUAUGGUUAGUGGUAUGAGAACUACUGAAAGUUCCAGUUGGGUUCCGACCGCCGAUUCGCCCGACCACCCACUAGGUUUAACUCAGGCAUAUGUAGUGCCAACAAAGUAACACGAUCAGAAACCAACUUUAAUAUAAACUCAUACAAGCUGUACAGAAGCUGAAAGAAUAAUAUGCUAAAACUGUAAAUAUUCAGGCAUGCUUUAUUCAAUUUACCUAAUACUCUGGUUAACCUUUGUCUACAAAACUCACUGACACAUCCAAAUAUCGGGAGACGCACGCUACAGCCGAGGGGGGACUUCAACUGGGAGACGCACCACUCGUCCAAGUAAACAUCGACUACAUCCGAGCUUACCCAUCUCAAGGAGCAGACGACCUACCUGACCAAACAAUGUAGUAUUACCGAUCCUCCUUUAGAGGAUUCAACACCAUAGCAUCGAUCGUCCACUUAACUCUACUAAGCUCUUAUCUAGUUUCACAAUUCUUUUAUCUCUGAUUCUGCAACCAAAUCUCUAAUUUAAUAUGUCACGAAGUUUACUAUUAUUAUUAGUCCAUCUCAUUUAUAAGGGUCUUGUUCACAAAUUCUAUUGCUCAAUAUAUUGUCUCAUGGUCGAUAAAGCGCAUUGCAUAAUCAAACUAUCAUUUAGCAUAAUAACAAUACCUUAUAAUCAUGAUUACAAAUGCUAAUAUCUCAAUGAAUUAGCAUAGAUAAUAAAAGGUGAUUCAAAAGAUUUCGGAUAGCACCACCCCUCUUAGUGUGUCAACACUAAAUCCACGUCUCGAACCAGUGCAACCACAACAAUACACACGACACUCAAUGGCAAUUAGAGUCCGAAAAUGGCUUUCUACUGUAAUUAUGCUCGCCCGACACUUGUGGAAUGUCAAUUUAGACUUCGAGAACGUUUAACUUUCAUUUAACAGAAUACAAGCAGAUUAACUUAGUUAUAAGUAAGCAUCAAAUUCCUGAAUGGGAAUGAUGCUAAUUGCUGUAUAAGAAAGUUAAAUUAUGCAUAAUUUAGCUUAUGGAGUUGAUAUAACCAUGGAUUAAACUAUAAAGAGCUAUAUGUAGUAUAGUAUAUAGGUGAAUUAUGGAAUAGGGAUAAAAACCUGAAAUAGGUUGAUCCUAUUUCCUAUUUAAUGUUAUUGUGUUUAAAUUAGGGAAGAGUUUGAAUGAUAGAUUAUGAUUGUUAAGCCUCUAAGUGCCAUGUGAAACCUAGAGCAAAAUGUCUAACUUAGAAUUUCUAAGUUGCUAAUGUCUAUUUGACUGUAUGAAUCUAGAGAAUGCUCUAUGUUGAUGUCAAGUGAACUAGUUUUGGUGAAAAGUAGUUAAUGUGAAAGUUCUAUAUAAUAUAAGGUGGUGGAAUGUGAACAAGCUGUACAUAUAAAUGUAUAUGUACAUGUAUAUACGUAUGAAUGUAUAUAUGCUUAGUGUUGAAAUGGAAACUGAAUUAAGUAAGGUUGAAGUUCUGCAUUAGAAUAAAUAAAACUGCUGGGUAAAAGAAUGGAAUAAAAGAGUAUAUGUAUAGAGGCCUUAACACUAUAUAUAUAUAUAUGUAUGUUGAAGUGAAAUGCAAGUUUUGUUAGAAUAGGAGUAUAACUUAAGUUUAAUCUCUUUUAUUCCUGUAUAAAUGAAAGUUAAACUUGCUCGAAAGUCUAAAUUGACAUUCCGACAGAUCGGCGACGCACUAAUUACAGUAGAAGCCAAUUCGACUCUAAUUGCAUUGAGUCGUGUGAUAUUGUUGUUGGCACGGUUCGAGACGUGGAUUCUAGUUGUUGACACCACUACAGGUGGGUAGUGCUAUCCGAAAUCUUUGAAUCACCUUUUAUGUCUAUGCUAAUUCAUUGAGCAUAUUAGCAUUGUAAUCAUGCAUUAUAAGGUAUUGUUAUUAUGUAAAUGAUAUUUGAUUAUGCAAAUGCUUAUCGACCAUGAGAAUAUAUGAACAAUAGAAUGUGAACAUAGAACCCUAUGAAUGCAUGGACUAUAAUAAUAGUAAACUUCGUGACAUUUUAAUUAGAGAUUUGGUUAGCAUCGAGAAAAAGAAUUGUGAAACUAGCAUAAAGAGCUAGUUAGAGUUAAGUGUGACAUCGUCUAUUGUUGAAUCCUCUAAAGGAGGAUCAGAUCAUACUCACAUUCGUUUGGUUCAAGGUAGGUUGCUCCUCCUUGAACGAUGAGCUCCGGAGUAGUCAUCUUUACUGGACCAGGAGGUGCGUCUCCCCCAGUUGACAGUCCCGUCGGGUGUAGCUUGCGUCUCCCCGAUAUUUGGGAUAGUGUCAGUGAGUUAUUGUUAACCAAAGGGUUAACCAAGUAAUUGGGUAAAUUGAAUAAAGCAUGCAUGCAUAUUUACAGUUUUACAUAUUAUUCUUUCAGCUUUGUACAGGCAUUGUAGUAGUUACAUAUUAAAGUUGGUUACUAUCCGUUUACUUUCUUGCCUACAUAUGCCUGAGUAGACCUAGUGGGUGAGUCGGCGAAUUCGGCGGUCGAACCCACUGGGAACUUUCAGUAGUUCUCAUACCACUAACCAUACAGGUUCCAGUGCGAGCGGUGUGGCCGAGGAUCGUGGCAAGAGCCCUGCAGCCUAGCUAGUUGACACCAGAGUAUAGUAGUUUACCAUUUUGGAUUUCAUGUGAUACAUUUUGAUGUACGGAAACUUGUAAAUGAGUGUAUAAAGAGCAUGUAAAUAACUAAAUGUUUCAGUUAUUCAGUUAUGUAUGUUCAGUUUAAAAGUUUUAAAUUACAGUGAAUUUUCAGUAUAGCUAGCUUACUAUCACUUGUGUUUGUUGCUUGCCCUCGUGCAAGCCAUGUAUAUUGAAAUGUUAUCCUGGGAAUUGUUUAUUUCUUUAUACAUGUACUCAUUGUUGUUGAGCCUUGGGCGGACAGAGGAGGUUCUGUCCGUUCGGCGUCUGUGCACGGGCCCGAAUCGACCAAAUCGGCGAUAGCGGGACGUGACAUAGAUAUACCUCUUCUACUUUCUAUUUCACUAUUCAUUUCAUUUCCCAUCCACUCCUAAGGUUUCUUUUACCUUAGCCAAGCUAUACCACCUGACUCACUAUUGCGUCAAUCAUCGACGGACUACCGCUCUUUGUCCAGGCCUGAGGAGGAAGGCAUGCCACAUGCACCUUAACCUUCAAUCUACUUGACUUUAGGUCAUCCAUCAGGCUAGGAACACACCGCACAUACCCUUGACCAUAAGUCUCUUACCAGGCGAGGGAUAUACCACACGUGCCUACAAUCGUAAAUCACUUGACGAGCAAGAUUUGUACCACUAUGUACCUGCAAGUGUGAAUCACUGCUAGGUGAGGAAUGUCACACAUACCGGCAAUCAUAAAUCACUUGCCAGGUGAGGAUCACCGCUACAUACCCACAAGUGUGAAUCACUGCCAUGUGAGGAAUGCCAUACAUACCCGCUAUCAUAAAUCACUUGCCAGGUGAGGAAUGCACCACUACAUAUCUGCAAGUAUUAGUCUGGAGAUUCUGGAAUCCACUUCCCAAGUCUCAAGGGCUCAACAUUUACCCUAUGUUGGUAACCUUUCUAGGUCCAUGUUCUAAUGUCCAAGUGAUCAUUUUAUCACUAUAUUUUACAACCUAUAUUCAACGACACUAGGUCAAAUGGCAUUCUGAUCCAAGUGGUCUUCCUGCCACUAUAUUUUUCAACUUAUGUUCAAUAACAUUGGGUUCAUGCCUAAUCAUGUUUUUUGAUACUCUGGUUGUCCACAUCUAGAAUUCAUGAUUCAUGUGAAAUCUAGUCCUUAAUUCCUCACUUGUCAAAUUCUCUAAUUUUUCUAGAGUUCAUCGACCUAUAUUUAAUGUCCACAUCUAGGCAUACAUAUAUAUAUAUACAUACUUAUAUGUCUUAAAUGCCCACUAUUCUUGUCCAAUGGUAGUUACUUUUUUUAGUAACAUAUGAUUCACAUAUUCAUAUUUACCAAUUAACCUACCAUUAUGUAUAUCAAGUAAAAAAAUAUUAAAUUUUUAUUUUUUGGCAGGGAAGUGACCUAAUCACUUUGGUGAAGCACAAUCCAUCUCACAAAGCUUCCUAAUUGCUUGUAGACACUUACAAUUAGGCUCUCUAUUUGGGUAUAAGCUUAAUUCCAAGCUUCUUCGUCCUACAACAACCAAAAAAAAGAUUAGUUAUCCCUUUCGAACCCUUAAAUGAUUUGUAGAAGUCCGGUGCACUAUAGACAUUGGUGUUGUGGUGGUGGAGCGGGUAAUUGUGUCCAGGCUGCUGAACUACUGGUGGUGAGAUAAGUUGAGCUGGUAGUAAGUGUGGAGGCUGCUGGUGUUGGUGUGAGAAGUUGUGGUGUUGCUGGUGGAAUUUGUAUGGAUAAAGAGGCUAAUUUCUCUUCAAAUUUCCUUAUUUGGUGUGAGAGGGUUUGCUUUUCUUUGAUUAAUGCUUGACUAUUAUAGUUAAAUCUUUGCACUGUCCUCUCCAUAGUUUAACUAUGGUCACAAAAAAUUACUUUGUUUGAGUCAUGAGCAAUAGUAUAACUUAGAGGUGUGUCUUAAUAGGUUCGGGGAGAGGGAGAAACGAAGAAAUGAGGUCCUAGAAUUUGCGUAGCGGAAUCUAAUGCUUCGGAAAGGGUUCUAAAACCUUUGUAUUGUGGUCCUGGAAAAUUAUACGUAGCUUCUACGACUUCUAGCCAUGUAUGCUAGAUGCUAACUUGCCAGAAUUCUGACUUGCAGUAAAACUUGCUAAAUAUAUUGCUAUUUUGGAUACUAUUUAUUAAUUGUGCCUUGUUAGGUAUAUUAUAAAGCUGUUUAUAGUUAAUUACCAUUAUAUUUUUCCCUCUAGCUAAUUCGGUAUGCUUAUCUAUUACUAUAUAUAUAAAAGUAGAACCUUUAAUGAACCCUAUGUGAAAAGCUGACACGUGACUUUCUAUAUGCUUGCCACGUGUCAAACUCAAAUAUGGAUAUUUGGUUACGAAUUAUUUGAAAUUAUUGAUUUAAUUAAUUAUUUAAAAUUAUUCGCAAUAAUCUGUUGCGAAUUAUUUGAAAUGGUUAGUUGCGAAAAAAAUGGUCAAACUCAAAUUUCGUAUUACCAAAUAAUUAAUUAUUUAAAAUUAUUGGUUACGAAAUAAGCAAUAAUCUGUUACAAGUUAUUUGAAAUGGUUAGUUGCGAAAAAAGGGUCAAAUUCAAAUUUUGUAUUGGUAAAUAAUUAAUUAUUUAAUCCUAUGUGAGAAGUAGACACGUGGCCACGUGUCAAACUCAAAUAUGGAUAUUUGGUUACGAAUUAUUUGAAAUUAUUGAUUUAAUUAAUUAUUUAAAAUUAUUGGUUGCGAAAUACGCAAUAAUCUGUUGCGAAUUAUUUUAGAUUUUUUUAAGAAAAUAAUAUCUUUUACUAUAUUAUUAAAAAUUACCUGUAAUGAAGGAAAUUUUAUUUCAAAGUCACCUAUAAUUAUAUUGAGAUAUUUAAGAAAUUCACGGAUAUUACGUUGCGAAAGAAUUGGCGGGUACAGAUAUUACGCAUAAGAAGGAAAAUAUUUAUCUUUAUUCGGAAAUAAAUUACUACUUAGUUAAUUAUUUGAAAUUAUUAGUUGAAAAUUACUGGACAUGAAAAUUUUAGUAAAAAACGAUAGAGAUAAUUUUCUAACGUGGCUUUCUAUAUGUUUUCCACGUGUCAUCGUCUCUAUUCUAUUUACUAUAAUAAUAGGUGGAUUAAUGAAAUAUUUGAGAAAUUCAUGGAUAUUACGUUGUGAAUGAAAUAUUUGAGAAAUUCAUGGAUAUUACGUUGUGAAAGAAUUGACUGGUGCGGAUAUGAGAAGGAAAAUAUUUGAGAAACGCGUAGAUAGAAAAUAUGAUAUAAAUGCGAGGGUAAUAUUGUCACAAAAAUUAACAGAUAUUUUUAUUUUCAAUCAUUAGAUAAGAUCUAAUGGUAAAAAAUUAAUAUCUUUUGCUAUAUUAUUAAAAAUUACUUAUAAUGAAGGAGAUUUUAUUUCAAAGUCAUCUAUAAUUAUGUUGAGAUAUUUUCAAAAUUCACGGAUAUUAUGUGGCACAAUAAUUAGCCGGUGUAGAUAUUAUGCAUGGGAAGAAAAAUAUUUAUCUUUAUUUGGGAAUAAAUUACUACUUAGUUAAUUAUUUAAAAUGAUUGGUCGAAAAUUUCUGGACAUAAAAAUAUUAGUAAAAAAUGAUUGAGACAUUUUUGGAAAGAGAAAAAAUUAAAAACUCACGAUUUUAUAAAAAAUUAAUAUCUUUUACUAUAUUAUUAAAAAUCACAUAUAAUGAAGGAAAUUUUAUUUCAAAGUCAUUGAGAUAUUUGAGAAAUUUAUGGAUAUUAUAUUGCGAAAGAAUUGGCGGUGCGGAUAUUACGCGUGAGAAGAAAAAUNUCAUGUAUAAUUUCAUGUGUUCGAUCUCUUUUUUUUUUAACCUGGUUUCAUUUAUAAGUUGAUUUUACGUUUUAAGUUAGGACGAGAUAAUAGAUAUUUAACCACACGUUUUAUUAAAUAUAAAUGUAUAACUACACGCUUUAUUUUACUAUUGAUUUUAACUAUACUUUUUAAUGUUUAUUGUAAUUAUAAAUUUGUAUAUUACUCUAGUUGAUUUGAAAGUAUAAACUAUGUGUAAUCUCAUUCGUGUGUAUAUAAUACAAAGAUAACAGUGAAAAUUCUAAGUUUUUAUAUUUCUACAACCAAAAGUUUUUUUAUAUUUCUUUUUUUAAAACAACGUACUUUUACUUUUCAAUGUCCUCACUGUCAUCCUUUUUUUUAAUGCUUUACUUUUAAUGUUAUAAUUAAGAUUGAUAGUAUAUUUUUUUAUUUGUUAAAAAAUAUAAAAUUAAUUAAAAAUUUUUUUUGUUAUCAUUACAUAAUUAUUUUUAUUAUUCUAUAUUAUUAUAUUAGCCGUGCAUCGCACGGGUGAAAAUCUAGUUUACUGUAAAAGCAGCACACCUAUAUUUUGAUUAUGAUCUUUGAAUAAUACCAAGUUUCAUUAAUUUAUCUAUAUGCAUUUUAAACUCUUCUUUUUUUAGUUUGUAGCUUCUAUAGUUGCUGUUCGUAUAAUAUAUUCAAGAUUUAUGAUUUCUAGUUUCCAAAAUACUUUAUCUUUGUCCCAAUAUUUAAUAGGGUUUUCUCCCAUUAUUUCUAGUUUAUCUAAUUUAACCAAAAUAGUAUCUUGACCACAUUAAAAAAUUAUAGUUAUUUUUAUAAAAUAAAACUAAAUAACUAAUAACUAACCGUUAAUAUGUCUAUUAAAUUUACUAAAAUUUUAAAUAUAAUUUUUAAAAAUUAGUUUAAUUUUUUUUUCUAAUUUGACUUUAUAAAACAAUUUAAUUACUAACUAGUGAAAGACCCGUGAGUUGCAGCGGGACGAUUUUGUAGAAAUAAAUAAAUAAAUAAAUAAAUAAAUAAUAGCAAAAAAAAAAGAGUCAAAAAAUUAUAUUAAAAAAAAGCAACCGAAUAAUAAGCAAUUAUUACUGCAAUAAAAAUAUAAGAAUAGAUUAUAAGUGGAUUACAAAAAUAAGGGUGAAAACCAUACGAAUAAUAAAUGAUAUUCAUAGCAGCAAUAAACGUUGAGUACUAAAAUGAUAUGCCUCAUAUUGUAAGUUAGAAAUUAUAACUAAUUAAAAUUUAAAGAUGAAAGUAUCACAUGCCUCAUAGUUUAAAUCAUAACAUAUUAAAGUUCGAGAAUUAAAGUGUCACUCGUCUUAUAGUUUGAAGGACGAAAAGUAUAAAUCCAAUCUUUCAAAAUUUUAUUUUGAUUAUUCAAUUAUUCGAUAUAUUAGAUAUGAGUCAAUCAAUAGUAUUUUGACUUUAAAAUCUGAAUGUAUCGCUUCGUUCUAUAGAUUUAAGUAGCUUAUUUUAUACUAUUCUUGUAACUAAAUUUUAUAAAAUAUAAAAUUAACUUAAAUGCCAUCAAUUUUUUUUUUAUUUUUUAAUGUACAAUUUAUAUUUAAAUGCUCAAGAGUAUAAAAUUAAAAUUUAUAUUUAAUAUAAAUAGUCUAAACUAUGUAAAAAUUAUUAUAUAUUUUAAAUAUUUAUAGUAAAAAAUAAAAAAUUAAAUUGGGCUUAAAGAAAAAGAAGGGAGAAAAGAAAUUGAAGAGAGAGGGAGAAAAAAAAAAAAACCUCUCCCCGGCUGGGCCCCACCGGCACCGAGCCCACCCUGGUCGUGCCUAUGUGAUGCCCGCGCAGGCUUGCACCCGCGCUCGCUCGCGCCCGCGCAGCGCCCGCAUGCCCUGCGCCCACUCACGCCCUCCGCCCGUGUCUCCGCCCCUCUCUACCAUGUGGCUCAAGUAAACUAAGGAUUCAUAUUUCAUAAAUAUAUAUUUAUAGAAUAUUUAUAGAUAUAGAUAAUCUUAUAAAAAUUUAUAUGGCACCUAAACCAGUUUAAUUAUUUAAAUUAUUAAACUUAUUUAAUUAAUAAUUAAGAUAAUAAAAGAUAUAAAAAUGAUAAUUAGAAUUUAUUAUCAAAAUAUUUUAUACCUGAGGGUUCACUUGUUUAAAUGUAAGGCCACAGUCUAAUUUGAUUUGAAACCGAUUUUUUUUGAGAACACCAAACUUUUCACGGAAACAGCCUUCUCCCUGUUCUCUCGUGACUUCUAGUGCAGCGUCUAGAAAGAUCGUUGAAAAGAAGCGUCGGCCAACGAGAACAAAACGUAGCAAAAGCCGGGUCCAAGACGACCAACACCAUUCCCAUUACCAUUUUUUUUUAAUUUCAUUCAUUACCGUUCUCGCCUCCUUCCUCUUUCUCCUACCUCUUUUUCUUCUUUCUAUCUUUUUGGUUUUUUAAUAAUACGAUCGGGAAUUCCCCCCCGGCAAGCGACCCAACCAUUCUCUCUCGGAACCCUCUCCUCUCUCUCUUCGUCCCCACGACCUAGGGUUUCGAAUCGCGCCGCGCCCCUAUUCUCUAUCUCUUUCCUCUUCCGUUCUUGAUUUGGCUUUGGCUUCGACCUCCGAUCGAUUGGUUUCUAGGGUUUCGGCUUCGGCACGAUGACGAUUCCCAGCUCGGAGGGCUUCCUCGCGGAGGGAAGCUGUUUGCCGUGCACUCCCGAGGAGGAGAAGGACAUCGUUGCGAGAUUGAAGAGGGAGGCCGAGGACAACCUUAAGGAUGGGGAUCUCUUCUACCUUAUCUCCUCUAGGUGGAUUAUUUGAUAUCUUUUUUAAUUCAACUUCUACUUCUUAUGCUUUGAUCAAUUUCUCUACGUAGAUCGUUAAAAUGUGAUCUUUUGGUGUUUUUAGGGGAUUUACAGCUGCAUAGAGCGGGAAUUAUGAAUCUGAUCUUCUUUAUAGAUUACAAAUGUGAGGAAAUGGGAUGGCUAGUGGAUUUGAUAUGAUUUGGGGGGUACGGGUAUUUAACGUUACAUUAUGGGUAGGUUAUUGAAGUAGUAGAGGGGAUAUAAGGAAUAUUUAACUUCUCAGUUUUGGAUAAAUUGUGUUCGGUUAACUGUUCCUGAUACACAUCUCACAUUAAAUUCCUUCAAAAGCAUUGUCCACUUCAUAAAAAAAUUAAUUGUUGAAAGGUAUUCCAGAUGUCGUGGAUGAUCUGAAAGGGAAUGUAUGUAUAGAAUUAUUGUCUUAUUCUUUUUUGGUUGCUUACAUGCGGCAUAAUACGCAGAUGGUGGAGUGAUUGGCAACAAUAUGUUGGCUUGGACCGGUUUGAUGAGAACUCUGAGGAAAGCCUUCUUCUUAUGCCAUCUAGGCCUGGGGAGAUUGACAACUCAAAGCUUGUUGUGGAGGAAUUAUACUUUGAUGGCGAGGAACGGGAACUUCAACAAAACUUGCAAGAAGGCCAAGAUUACACUUUGGUGCCCCAAGCAGUUUGGAGGAAGCUUCUCUCAUGGUAAGUCAUGUUCUUCUAUCUUCUCUCUCAAAAGAAAGGGAGAAAAAAAAGGUCAUAUUCUUCUAUCUCUUUAAAGAGAUUGAAGCAAACUCCCAUGAGGGAAAUAGCGAUUUGAGUUUAUAGAUGGAAUCUCAAUGUGCUUUUCAUAAAUGGUAGAAUGAUAUUUUCAGUGGAUUGAUUCACUUUAUUAAAGAUGCUUUUACGUAUUAGUUUGACAUACAAUAUACCUACGAUAAUUGAUCGUUGGUUAUAUCACUUGUUUGUAUAGUUUAAAAUCAUCUUUGUGUUCGAAAUACAUUGGCAAUUACUAAAGUUUCAGUAUCUUCCAUUUAGUGAUGUGCAAUAACAGGAGAACAUCCGAUGAUCUCACUGGUUAAAAUAAAGUCAGUGCAACAUUUAUUGUUGACCAAUGAGCUACCUGUUAAGAGUCAAAGGUGCCAAUAGUUUUCAAAUCUAGACUAUCCUGAAUGUUAGCCAAACAGACUUCUAGUAAGUCAAGUUUGAGUUGUUUUGAUGCAUAGGUGAAAGAGCUCAGGAGAUGCAAAAUUUAUUUCUAGAUGUUUCAAAUUGUUUAUAUCAUAUACAAUGUUAUGGAUCAUCAAUGUUUGCUGUUAUACUGAUUAUUUUGAUUCAACACCAUUGCCAUCCGAAUACUAUAGAUAAUAUGGAGUUGAGCUAGUAUGCUUUUUAUGAGGACAAAGGCCUUCGUACUAAUGAGUCGUUCUCACUAAUAGGGCGUCAAUAUUGAUGAUCCACACUGGUAGACAUGAUCUAAAGUUGAAAUAUCUAAGAAUUGAAUUUCAUGCCUUUUGAAAAUUAUUUUCAAGUGCAUUAGGAGGCCACAAGAUGAAUAGUCAAAAUUGAACAACCUUCUACAUAGGUUGCAAACAUUGCUUUUCUAGCAUUUGUUCUUCCAACUAUGUUGGGGUUGUCCUGACUUUCUAGACCUAGUCUUUUAUCAGGAAAAUGGUGCUAGCUACAUUAACUUAGUUUCCCCAAAAUUUUUUCCUUUAGAUUCUUUUUUGACUUUUGAUCGCUAUCUUUCUAUACUUCUGGUUGUGUAUCAUUAAUUAUUGAGGGUAUCUUUAGAUGUUAUUCAUAAAGAUUACUGACCAAAAUCUGCAGGUCAAAAGCAUGUUCAUUUGUAGUCUCGUGUGAAUUCAUUUCCAUUUUGGAUUCAUUUCUAUGUAUCAUGCAAAUUCAUGAGCUAUAUAUCUGCGCAAAGUGAAUAGAUAGAAUUUCAUGCUAUACUUUUUACCCAGAGCUUGUACUUCUGUUCGCUUGUUUUUUUUUUCCAGGUAUAAGGGAGGACCCGAACUUCCUCGAAAAGUAAUAUCUGAGGGUUCUAAUUCGAAAACUCACAUUGUCGAAGUUUAUCCUCUUUGUCUACAACUAAUUGAUGACAGAAACAAUUCCCAGAGACCUAUCAAAAUAAGUAGAAGGGUACAGUACAAAUUUAUGCUUCAGAACUUGCCAUACUUGUGUGGCUAUUUUGCCUUUCGAAAUAUAGUAUCCUUGAAGGUGUAUUUUUAUUUGAUAUUGGGUAACCGAUAUUUACUUUUGAUAAGAAAUCUUUCCUAAGUGCCAAGGAGAAUGGUAGGUUCCACAAUUUUUGAAAUACUUAAUGCAUUAUUUAUCUUGAAUUUUUGAGGUUCAUGGUUUUGUUUGUAGCUCAAUAAUAUCUUAUUAGUUUAUCAGCAAUGCAUUGUUAACUUUACCUAUCAUUUUUUUUUGUGGGUCUCUUAUUUCACUAUCACUUAGCUCUCUCAUUUGUGGCAUGCUUUUUGUGCUCUCUCCUGUUGAUUAAUUUGCUAGAACAUUAGCACACUUUCAUGGUAAUCCUCUUUGCAUACGUCGGCUGUUGGUAUAAUAGGUAGAGUGGGCUUAUUAUCUGCAUCACAUAUUCUAAUAGAGUUAAUUUUUGAGCAAAAGUUUCAAAAUCAUCUGUACAUACACUAUUCAUACAACAUUUAUAACGAGAUAACUCGUUCUUAGUUGCAAUGACUGAUAGUUCUUACUGUAGACUAGAGAAAGGCAGCAGCUAUGCUUUAGAUCAAUAGCUCAUAUGCACCAUCUGUGCUAGGUACUUUUUUUUUUUUUACUUUCUAAUUGCUUUUAGUGUACUAUCAUAGUUGGACAACUGUUGAUAAUGUUAAUGAUCCCUCAAUCACUUAUUCUUUAAUCCUAAUUUAUGUUCAGCCAUUUGCUCAUGCAAGUUUGAGCGGCAAUUGAAAAGAAACAGAUAAUUUCAGCUGCAACCUUAUGUUGAACAAUCUUUACCUCUAGGUCUGUCAGAACUUUUGUUUCUUUAGGUUUAAGAAAAUCAAACUGAAUUUACAAAACUGCAUAAAAGGUGGUGGGGGCUGAAAAUUAGAUCUGUUGAAACAAUCAUGACUAAAUGAGCAUUCUUUGUGCAAGGUUGACUAUCAACAACAGAUUGCAUUUUUUGAAACUUGACAGAGUAUCAUAAGGUCUGUAGUUUGAGCCGCAACUGAAAAGAACAGAUAAGUUUUAGCUGCAACCUUAUGUUGAACUAUAUUUACUUUUAGGUCUAUCAGUUCAUUUAGGUUUAAGAAAACUGAAUAAAACUUAUAGAAUUGACUAAAAUUGGCCAGGACUGAUUAAGAUCAAGAUUAUAAGUGUCCAUCAGCACAGGCCGUGCCCACCGUGUUGUACCGUGCGGACAAGAUAUCGGCACGAUACAAUCUCCUUGCCAAUGCUACUGUUCGACAUCCUCUUUUCUUCAAAAUUAGUAAGUCUUUAUCUCAAUAAAAUGCAAAAGACUUGAUAAAGAUAUAUUAAUAAGUAAUUAUAAUAUAUUGAUGUGAAAGAAAAUAAAUAUUUCACUUCAUAGUGUGGAGGCGCACAUGCAUUUUUGUGUCCGACACAUCUAGGCAUAGCACGACAUGCAGCGUGCUAUACGCCCGUAUUGCGCCAGCAAACUCUCAGCACCAUCCCGUGCCAUGACACAUAAAUUCUUGAUUAAUAUUUGUUGAAACAAUUGUAAAUAACAAGAGCUUGACGAGAAUUGUUUAGGUUUUGCCGAAUCUAGUCCGGGCUGAAUUCAUCUGUCUAACUAUAUGUAUCUUUUUAGUCAAUGUUGGCAAAAAGGACUAACUAUUUAUAUUGCAUCCCACUAGACUUUACACUCGAUUUUGCACUUUUUCCUUCUUUUUUUUUCACCCACUUAGUUUUUACUUUUCUAAUUCACUACCAAAUUUCUUAAUAUUCUAGACUAUUGGUGUGAAUAUCUGUUUAGUAAACUUUGCUAUGUAGACUUUACACCUGAUUUUGCAGUUUUGGCUUUUUUAAACCCACUAAGGUUGGGUUAUCUGAUUUGGUACCGAAUUUGGCAAAUAUCCUAAACUAUGGGCAGAGAUUCUCUUGUCCUCUCUGCGCCUAUGGAUAAAAUGUAUGUUUUGUGAAAGAUUACUUUUAAAUAGGCAGUCUACUCAUACAUGAAUUCGAACUAGUGUGCUUAUCCGGAAAAAAAAAUUGUCAUUUGAGAACUCCACAUCCAAAUAUGCCUUACCGUUCUUUUUACAAUCAACCAUCAAUCAUGAACCAUUAAGUUGACACAUUCUAAUACAUCUUGUUUGAUGAUGGACCAACCUAAGAUAGCAUGUGAUUUUAAACUAGCUAUAUGUAGAUGACUCCAUAGUCGAGACUAUCACGGUUAUUAGUGGUUUCUUAUUUGUUUAAACACUCUUAUUUGUUUUUUGAUCUUCUUAACAGUCACCGUAAUUACAGGGUGCUGAUACUCCCCGCUUUUGAGUUAAAAGACCUAGAUGACAAACCCUAGGGCAACAAAAUGUGCCUGUGUAUGAUUAUUACUAGCUCCUUACUUUGUUCCUCUCCAAAUCUGUUGAAGUUUCAAAAUUAUUUGUCCGGUUAUCCAACCAUAGGCUGAAGUUGUCAAUUUUAAUCCACAUGAUGAACCGAAGCUUAUUGGACAAGUUCUUAGUUUUGCAAUGUGAUACCAUUUCUGUCAUGAUCUAUGGUCUAUGGGUUAUCCAACUUUUGUAAUUUAGCCCUUGUUUAAGUGUCAACAAUUAUGAAAAAUUUCUCGAUUGCAUGUCUAUAUAGUUUGUCCAACUGGAUAUUGUGGAGCUAUCCAGUUCGAGUUAGGUUGAUAUAUAUGAUGAUGCUAACACAUUUCAUAGUUUAAUAGAAAUGGGAAUGUACAGUUAUGUAUUUCUAAUUUUGUAUAGUUACUUUAGAAUUUCCAUUGUGAUCAGCAGAUGAAUGACACUGUCGCAGAACUUAGGCUUCUCCUCAUCAUUGUCUGUGGAGCUUUCGACUUUGAUAUUCUGUGGAGACUUUGUUAAAUAAAAGCUUUUCUCCCCCACUUAUAGCAGAUUCUGAGAGUAAAUCAUUUACAAGUUCAUUGAAAAUCAGCUCAUGCCUCUUGCCUGCUAUACUUCUGUUUGGUGUUUACUGAAAACUCGUUGAACAAGUAUAGUUUUGCAUAUUUUCUUAACUGGGGUAAAAAGCCAUGUAAACUGAUGCUAACUCUUACUUGCAACUUUUUGUUCUUCAGGCUUCCGUAGGUGAUCUUUACAGUAUGGUUUGUGCACUUUGUGGGGUAGAUAAGUCAAAGGUUUGUGUUAUAAUUUGAUAAUUAUGUCACUCAGAAGUCAGAACAAAUAGUGGUCCAACUUAUUUCUUAUGAUUGAUGUAAUUCUUUUAGGCUGCUCUUUGGGAUUACUUUUUCAAGACUAAGAAUAAGUUACUGACUAACUUAGACCAGUCCCUGGAGGAAGCUCAGUUGCAGAUGGACCAGGAGGUUAGAUUUCAUUUUUCUUUCUGAUAUGGCCUGUCAACAUCUUUUAUGGAAACUGUCCCUUUUUUCGGACAGUGGUUGCUGUAUAUGCUAUUUUGAAUCUAUUAUUUCUUAUAUUUUAGUAACCACAGUGUGGUCUCUUUGUUUUUAUUACUAUCUUCACACCUACAUUUUCCUGUUGUCUCUUGAGGUACUUGCUAUAAUACUCUAUCUUCACACCUUAUGAUUCCAUGAACAUACUUUCUUAGUUGUAGAAAACAAUUGUACUGGACAGACUACUUUCUUAUAGUUUCUUGAGAAUAAAAUCCAAUUUUUCAUGUGCAAUAGAUCAAUGAGUCUAUGUUGUGAAUCCUGUGGUCACUGACAUUGCGAUGCUUGCCUUUUCACUUUGCAUUCUUCAUUCAUUUUGGAAAUUCUGGUUCAAAUCAUGAUAUCUUGCUGACAUAAUUAUACUUUUAAAUGAUUUGUGUCAAUUUUUUUUUUUCUUAUCUUGCUCUGAUAAAUUUUAAGCUUCAGAUGGACCUUUUAUUGUGCAGUUUUCUAGCUGCUGAUUUUGUUGAUAGCAAUAUGCUUAAUGUUUAUUAUGGCAUAAUUUGUUAUGGAAAGAACUCUUUAGAGAUGUGGGCCUUUUGUUCGUUUUUCGUUCAUACAAUCAAAUUACUAAUGCAUUUGUUUGAUGCAGAUUCUUUUGGAGGUACAAGAUGACAGCCCGUGGUCCUAUAAUUUGGGCACGAGUUCAAGUGGAAAUGAGUUGGCUUUGGUUCCGCUACAACCUUCAACUUCAUCUAUAAGUAUUGCUGGUGGUCCCACUGUAUCAAAUGGUUAUUCAACUGGAUUUGGUUCCCAUGCACUGCAGGGUAGUAGUUUUGGGCUAUCAACGAGGGAUGUAGAGGAUGGUGAUGCCAUUUUAAGCAAUGGAGCAAAAGUAGAUGGCCAGGGACUAACAGGUUUGCAUAACCUGGGUAACACUUGUUUCAUGAACAGCGCCAUACAAUGUUUGGCGCACACACCUCCUUUGGUAGAGUAUUUCUUGCAAGAUUACAGCGAGGAAAUAAACACGGAAAAUCCUUUGGGGAUGCAAGUAUAACUCUUAUCUUAUCAGUACCUAUCAUUCCUUUUUCAUUUUUGUUAGGAAUUUUAUGUAGUAGUGUGUUAUUGAUGGCGGGCUGCUGGUGUGAUCUAUUGCUCUUCUUUUUUCUGCAGGGUGAACUUGCAAUAGCAUUCGGAGAACUAUUAAGGAAAUUAUGGUCCUCAGGACGUACAUCUGUUGCACCACGUGCAUUUAAGGCAAAACUAGCUCGGUUUGCUCCCCAGUUCAGUGGGUAUAAUCAACAUGAUUCUCAGGUUGGUACUACCUGCUUCUGUUACUGCUAUUUUGCUACAACGUCAAUUUAGUUUUGACUUCAAAAUUUCUCUGACUACUGUAGACCUAAAAAUGUCAAAUCUACUCACCUAUACUGAGGUUUCUUCCUUUUAGGAACUUCUUGCAUUUUUGUUGGAUGGUCUUCAUGAAGAUUUAAAUCGUGUGAAAAAGAAGCCAUAUAUUGAGGCAAAAGAUGCUGAUGGUCGUUCAGAUGAGGAAUUUGCUGAUGAAUGUUGGAAGAAUCACAAGGCUCGAAAUGACUCCAUAAUUGUAGAUAUAUGCCAGGUAAUUGUUAUUGUAUUACUGUUUUGUUUUUACACUGUCCAUUUUUGUUUUGUCUUGAAAGAAACCUUUGGCGGUUUAAUUUGAUGUAGCCAAAUUCACAUGCUUCUUAUGGAAAAGAGGUGGUGGCGGGGCUCAAGUAAUCUGUCACAUAUUAUAUGCUUCUUAGUUUCAAACAAUAUAGUUUGUUCUUUCUGGGCUGGGGAUGUACCCAUGUUUGCCUAUUUGUUUUUCUGCCUUUGGACCAUAGGAUGUAUUUUUAUUUGUUUAUGAAUCUUAUUAUAAAAUUCCCAUGAAAAUAAUAUAGUGCUUAAUUGGUAGAACCUAUACAAUUGGGAAGAUCAUUGAUGGGUCCAUUGUCAUUACAGUAGUAAUGAUCAUCAAGUAUUAAAACUUAAAUUCUAGAAGCCUGGAAUAAUUAUGGAAAUUCCUAAUAUAAUCUUUUCUGAACUUUGAGUGUUCAUGCUUCAGGCCCGUCUAAACUUGCUCCCACAUUUAGUGAGUUUUGUUGGACGGCUAUAUCGAGUGUUCAUAUAUUGCUUGUAGAUACAUGUUAUUAUUGAAAUGAGUAGCAUUCCCAUUACUCUUUCCUCACCUAUAGAAAACAAUUAACCUCUCUCGAUUGAUAGACAUAUACUGCUAAUAACUAUAGUAAUUUAAAAUAUAAAAACAUAUAUUGUGAUAACAUGAACACUACUUAUAUUGUGAUCACUUGAACACUAUAUGCAACAAAAUAGAAUUUGACUUCUUAUUUUCUCUUUAUGUUUUCUUGUACAAUGGACACAUUUUGAACACAUUAUGGAUGUGAAGGAUAAUGAGGGAUGUGAUGGACACACGAUGGACCAUGGUGAGUGAGUGAGAGGAUAUUCAUUUGCUGUGAAUGUUCCAAAAAGCGGUCUGUGCGGUCGCAUAUAUGGUUCGGACCAACAACCGCACCGCAUAUAUAAUAUGCGGUGCAGUAUACAGUUCGAGCUCAUAUACGACCCAUAUGCGGCCGCAUAUGCAGUAGACGACCACAUAUGGCAUUUAUUUUUCUUCAGGUGGGAUUAAAAAGAAAUGUAGAAUGAGAUUGUUUGGUUAAUGUUUUACCUAUAGAAUUCUAUUUUCAUACUAGUUUAGUUAAUAACAAGGGUAAACUUCAAAUACCUCCCUGUGGUUUAAAGUGUAUCAAGUUAGCCCUGUGGUUUCGCACUUUCUCACUUUAGUACCCUUUGGUUUAAGGUGCAUCAAGUUAGUACCCUGUGGUUUAAUUUUUCUCUUAUUAUUAUCCAUUUCACUAAUUUUUUCGUUAAAUCAGUGACAAAGUUAAAAUUAAAGGGUACUAAAGUGAAUAUUCGAUAAACCUAGGUAGGGUAUCUGAAGUUUUUUGUAUAUAAUUUAACGAAAUAUUAACAGAGGAGCCGACAAAAAGAGAAAAAUGAAACCACAGGGUACUAAAUUGAUGCACUUUAAACCACAGGGUACUAAAGUGAGAAAGUGCGAAACCACGGUACUAAAUUGAUACACUUUAAACCACAGGGUACUGAAGUGAAAAAGUGCGAAACCACAGGGGUGGUAUUUGAAAGUUUCCCUAAUAAUAAUGGAUAGAAAUACAGUUAUCUUUAUAUAAAUAAAAUCUAACUGUCACUCUUCUUAUUUUAGUAGGUAUUAUUUUAAACAUACCUAAUAAUUGUGUUUAUAAAUAUUAGUGGAUAAUUUUGUUGUUGUUAUAUAUAUAUAUAUAUAUAUAUAUAUAUAUAUAUAUAUAUAGAACUAGGCUACUAUGCUAUUAAUAGCACUAAGUCAUUGGUGCUACCAAGUUUUUGGCCAUNAAGAUAUGCUCCAAUGUAAUAAAAAAGACAUGUUACUUAUGAUGGGACUUCACUAGCCAAUCAAUUGCUAAAAUUUGGACUCUACCGUACUUCACUGAAUAUAUUAAUGUAAGAGCAAUAAUGCAUCGAUCCAUUGCUAAUCCAAAUAUCAUGGAAUGACACAUAAGAACAAGUUCUCAAUUAUGAGUUACCCUACCUAAAAAAGAAAAAAAAAACUUUACUACGUUUAUCACGUUCACAAAUUUGCAUAUUUAUGUCCUCAAACAACAAACUUUUCUUAUCAUUAAUUAGUAACACUAAUAAUUUGUGAACAAUGUGACAGAGACAAAACUCUAUUUUAUAUAUAUAUAUAUAUAUAUAUAUAUAUAUAUAUAUAUAUAUAUAUAUGGCCUAUCAGAUAACGUUGAAUGAUAGUUUAUUGAAAAAAUUAUUGUUCUUCAUAAAAAUUUAGCGUGUUGCUUUUUAGAAAAUUGAUUUUCGUUUGACAUCUUUUAUAAUUUUGCAUUGAGAUUCUAUAUGUUUCUCUAUUUAAUAAUUAGGAGUAAAUUGCUAAUUAUUAGUUUAGUGGUGCGUGUGCAUAUGAGGUCUUACUUGAAAUUAAUUAUUUCAAUUUGUGAAUUCUGAAUUAUUACUUAAUUAUUUAGCUUUGGUAGGAAGCAUUUAUAUAUAUUUUUAAUACCUAUAAAUAUUUUUUAAUAUUUUAAUUGAUAGACUGGAUAUGUGUCCGAGUAUGUGGCUGCAUAUUGCAUAUGCCAUAUACGGUGGGGAACCACAUGAAUAUCGCAUACUGCAUUUUGGAACAUUGUACACGUGACUAAGUUAUAUCAAUGGAGCAUCCACUUAGGAAACGUGUCCGACAUUUUUGGGGCACCGAUGUGGGCAACAUAAAUUGCAGCAUGCAUUUCCUAGUUCAGCCAAUUGGGUUAUACGGGAUACGGAUUGUCUUUCAAUUUAUUUGUUGGCCGGCUGAAUAGUACCCUAAGCUAACAAUGUUAUAGCGAUAGAGAAAGCCUGAGCAAGCAUAAUAUUGUAAUAUUGUCAUCAGUUUUAUUUCUACAUUGGCUGGUUGACUUCUUUCAUGAAAGCCUCCCUAUCUGUUGAUAAUAAUUUUAUAUGGAAGAAGUUAAAUUUCUACUUGUGCAUGUCUUUUCUUAAUUGUCAUAUGUUGUGUACAUAAUAGUAGUUGGUGCUAUAUGACUGGUUAUUAUGCUGUUUGGUGCCAAUAGUUUCGAUAGUCAAGUAAUUUUUUGUGUUUAUGUUAGUUCGACAUCCUUUUUGUUGAAAAUUUCAGGAAAAAUGCAUUUUUAUUGCCAACCAAUCUGCUAUUACAUAUAUCUUUACAUUUGUUAGUAUUUAUACCAAUCUUGCAAUUAUAAAAUGGGAAUUUUGAAGUCAGUGCUUGAGAAAAUUUCGUAAUAUUCUGUGGAUGUAAUGUUGCUUUAUUGUCAAUCAUUAGCAAGUUCUAUAACUGAAGAUUUUGCUGGAGCCAAAUGUUGAAUAUUUUAUAGAUCCUUCCCCUCAUAAUGGUAGAAUUUCACAAUGAUGUUUGUCUUUCAUUGUCAUAUGGAUGAUGUGGCAACCAUGCAUUAGUUUGCUAUUCUUGGCUUGAACAGAACAGACUACUAAAUUUUUGUUUAUUGGAGCAAAUUUUCUUUUUUGCUCUUAAUAUUGUUGACCAUUGUUGUGGUUGGUUUUCAGGGUCAAUACAAGUCUACUCUAGUCUGUCCAGUUUGCAGCAAAGUUUCUGUGACAUUUGACCCCUUCAUGUACUUGUCAUUGCCACUGCCUUCAACAAUUAAUCGAUCCAUGACUGUAACUGUAUUCAGCGGUACUGGGGAUGCUCUCCCAAUGCCUUACACUGUGACAGUGCCGAAGAACGGCCUUUGCAAAGAUCUAAUGAAAACUCUGAGUAGUGCCUGUUGUUUGAAGAAUACUGAAGCAUUGUUAAUUGCAGAGGUAAGAUGGUUUUCUUGGCCACGUACUUUAUUAAUCUUAAUCCAGAUACCUUGCUUGGCCACGUACUUUAUUAAUCUUAAUCCAGAUACUGUACUUCUUUGUUGAAGCAAGAUUUUCUUUCUACAGGUUUACGAUCAUCGCAUAUUCCGUUACAUGGAGAAUCCUUUUGAGUCGCUUUCUACUAUAAAGGAUGAGGAGCAAAUUGUGGGUUAUAGGCUUCCAAUAGGCCAUGAGAAACUUCUCAGACUGGAGAUAAUGCACAGGAGAGCUGACAGGUGCGUAACCCAGUAUGUGUGCGCUUGUGGAUAAGAAUUUUUCAUACUUGUACAUUUGCAUAGCUUACUAGAGCUGAUUGGAGAUGAUGCAAAUUUGGACUCUCCUAUGCUGUUAAAACAACAAUAAUCUAAUAUUGGUCAUUAAACUUGUCAAUUUUAAGACCAUUCGAUUACCAUUAAAAUUGUUGAUUUUAAGACCCUUCAAUUACUAUGUAGAUGAUUUUAGAUUAUGAAAUUAGUUCUUGGAGAGACUUCGAAAACCCUAGGUCAUAGUUAAAGGUGAAGCCUGAGCAUAAAAAUAAUUCUCUUCGUUUUAUUGAACUCUGCAAAAUGCAUACCUUUUAUCCUAUGAUUUUGUACCUUACUAGAAGUGUAGUGAUCUAUCACUACUUAUUCAUUGUCCGAAAAGAAUUAACAUAUGUGUAGUUUCUAUGUUGUAGAAGACUGAAUAAUGAAGGUGUUAGCUGAUACUUAUACUGUUAUACACAAAACUCAUAGGCAUAGCUGUAAGGGAAAUGAUGUAGUAGAAACAAAAUGGGAAGAAAUUUGUUCGUCUGGAGUUGUUUUAACUGUUUUUCUUUCCAAAUGCUUCUUUUAUUCCAUCACUCAUUAUUACCUUUCUCUUAAUUCUUCCAUCUCUGUUCUUCUUUUCAUCUUCUGUUUUCAUUCUUCUGUCAAUUCCAUUUUGUCUUAAUUGUUUUUCCGUUGUGGGAGCUUAUUGACUUUACUGCAGAACCUUCUUUCCUGUAGAUCAUUGUUUGUAAAUAAAACAAUGCAAAGAGCUCUAAAGAUGUUAAUUGCAAUGUUACAACAAUUGAUCUUUUAUUUAGUAUACUUAGGUCCGCUUGCGUACAUGCUGCCUAUACAUAUUAUGCACUCUAGGUUGCAUUAUAAAUUAACCAUUCUAGCCAACUCUCUAUUCAUUUAGUUGAAAGAUUUUAACCUUCAAUUUAUUUCUCUUUAUGAGAGUGAUAUAUGACUAUUAAAUAGCCUAUGUGAUAAAUUUUCAUAUAAUCUCAGCAAUCCUGUUCUAGAGAACUUCUUGUAGCCUACUUGUUAGUCUGGAUAGUAGGUGUUGUCUAGGCAACAAUAUUUAUGGAGGUUUAGAAAUAUAUUUUUACUUCAAUUACCCUAUUAAGUAGUGGUAAUUAGUAAGACUAAUGGCAAGUUCUAUAGUUCAAAAAUAGAGCGCACUUUUGUUUUCGAUUUCUUAUUACAAUCUUGUUUUCCCCCAGUUCCUCCUAUGCACCAAGCCUCUAUUCCAUCCUUGCUCCUCUUUUCUCUUUCUCUUCUUUCUUUUUUGCCCUAUACUAUUUUGAUUUGCACAGUGCUCUUACCUUUUUUCGUCGUAUUACCAAAGUUGUUCUCUUCCAACCUCUACCCUGGACUAUGAUUUUAUCAAAUUCUCUUCCAACAUCUUCGUUGGACUAUGAUUUUUAUCUACUCCGAAUACUAUGUAGCCUGAUAACUAUCUGAUAACUACAUGGCAAGUAUCCCUCGCAAUUUAGUGUUGCCGCCAGUGUGCUAUUGUCAGGUUCAUAGUUUGUAAUAAAAGUAGGACAUAUUCUUUUCAAGUAUUCUCAUCUUUAUGUUGAACUUAAAUCUUUUCCCUGUUAUUGUAUGUAGGCAGCAAACCCCUUUGAAAGUACGUAACUGAUAUGAGUAGGCAAGACAAAUCAGAUAUAAUGCCUAUGCAGCAAGUAUAUGAAGAUAUGGCAAUUAUGAACUUCAAAUUAAAUAGUCUGUACACAGUAGAAUUUAGAAUAUAUAAUUAGAAAAAAUGGGAAAAAAAAAUAAUAGAAAGAAGAAUUUAGACCUGACUUGAGUGUAUUAUGAUAUUUGUAAUUUGAUGAGCUUCAUGUCUACAUUUCAAGCAAUUCACCAAAAAGAAGUAAUAUGAAUAUUCAGAAGGUUUAACUACACCCUACUAAACCGUACUUUUGUGCUAUUUUAGUUUGCUACACUGCAUUCUUUUCCCCCUCCAAAGACAGCUUUGAACUAUCAUUUUCUUAUCGACUUCUACACAGUGCUUUUGAUUUAUUUUCAUUUGCUAGCCUACCUAUUUUCUCUUCUCAAAGACAUCACUAUCAUUUUCUCAUCAAUCUCUAUAUUACUGUCAACAAAUCUUAUUUUUUAGACGGAAGCUAACAACCCUAUUAAGAGGCAUUGGUCAUAUGGUAGGAAAAACAACAAAAUGAGUUUUCAAGAUAAAUUCAUUGGAAGCUUCUAAAAUUAUAAGCUUAUUUGCUUGUAGUGUAGAGGUUGACAUAAAAAAAUUGUUUAUUGUUGACGUUGGAGUAAAAAAAAAAAAUAGUAGUGUAGGAAAUGAAAGAAGAAACCACUAAUGUAUAAUUUAGUGUAAUUAAGCCUCUUCAUAUGAAUUUUAUAGAACAGGUCAAUAUCCAAUUAUUUGCAUGUCAUGUUCAAUAUGGCUGUUACCGGAUUGCUCAUGUAUAUAAUAUGCUAUGACUAGGUUGUAAGUCACAGCUUCCAACGUAGUCUCAGGUUGGGGGGUGCAUAGUCUGUUUUUGAAAAUGCUGGAGAAACCAUGAGAAAGGGUUGCUCUUGCAGUGAUAGUUAAAUACGACUGUCUCUUUAUGAAUUUUUAAAAUCUGAUAAAUUCGGUUCUUUGUAUCAGAAGUGUUGUAAUGGUGCAUUUAAGGGUCUCCUUAAUUAGGUCAUCUGGAAUUUGGUGAUGUGACUUCAGCUUGUUUCCUUUGAAUGCAUGUAAUAUUGUAGAUUUUCAGGUUCUUAUUUAGUAUUUCAUUAUCCAGAUUCAUGUCAGAGCCCCAAUACAAUGUUCACCGCAAGCUUAUUGGAACUCCAUUAGUGACAUGUAUACCCAAGGAGACCCGAACUAGAGCUGAAAUAUAUGCAGCAGUCGCUCGUGUGCUCGCACCUCUGUUGCGUGCGAAAGCAUUUCCUACCCAUCAACCAACAUCAAGCAAGGAAAAUGGCUUCGGACCGAGCCUCGACUCCAUAGUGCUAACCGAUAAUGGUGGUAGCCCAGCUUCAUCAAACGGGAAAGAGAUGCUGACAGUAAAUAUGGAAAUAGAAGAUAAUAAUGCUGAUGCUGAUCGGGAGGAGCUUCCACCAUUCCAGCUUUGGUUAACUGAUGAGAAGGGUGUGACUAGAACCAUGAUCGAUACCGAUGAUUCCAUUCAUUUACUAGGAUCUUGCGUGAGGUUACUGAUGGACUGGUCCGACCGUGAACUCGAAACAUACAAUCUCAGCUACCUCGAAGAUCUCCCAGAAGUCUUCAAGUCUGGAUUCAUGUUAAAGAAAACGAGGCAGGAGGCAGUCACUCUAUUCUCUUGCUUGGAGACUUUUCUUAAGGAGGAACCUCUGGGUCCCGAUGAUAUGUGGUUAGUGCUACCUCUUCCUUUAAUUUCUUUCUUUGCGUGAAUUUCCCCUUUUUUUCUUUCUUACACGCGUGCGCAUAUGCACAAAUAAUAAUAUUUUCUUUGUUGUUGUAAGGUAUUGUCCUAGCUGCAAGGAACACAGACAGGCGACUAAGAAACUGGACUUGUGGAGGCUGCCGGAGAUCUUGGUGUUCCACUUGAAACGGUUUUCAUACAGCCGAUUCCUGAAGAACAAGCUUGAUACCUUUGUGAACUUCCCCAUUCACAAUCUCGACCUCAGCAAGUAUGUUAAGCACGGCACAUCUAUGCUGCAGUCUCAUGUGUAUGAGCUCUAUGCGGUGAGCAACCACUAUGGUGGGCUAGGAGGUGGUCACUACUCUUCCUAUGCGAAGGUACUAAUUUAUAAGUUUCUUUUCCUUGUUUUAUAUAGAAAAAUGAAAAACACAAGAAUUUGAAGUACGAUUGGGUGAUUUUGUUCUUUUCAGUUAAUAGAAGAAGACAGCUGGUACCAUUUUGACGACAGUCAUGUCUCCUCUGUGAGCGAGGAAGAGAUAAAGACGUCUGCAGCUUACGUUCUCUUCUAUCAGCGGGUAAAAGGUGAUUCCAGUCAACCAGGCAUGAAAGGAACAUCAUCGUGCACAGAUUUACCAAGUUCUUAGGUGCAAGAUUCGGACGAAGAUGUAAUACACGAAGGUUCGCAUUGUUAUCAUUCCAUGGGAGGGAUGGUUCUCAUUAUCGUCGUCCUAUGAGCCUUUUUCUACUUUGACGUUGAUUGUUGUGGGAGCCUCAUACUGAUGGUUGGCUGUAGGAAUUUUGGCCAAGAGGAUGGAUUUUCCACUGAAGAAAGUCCUCCACAAUUUCUUACAGUACUGUAGGACUCACCGUGUGAGCUAUGACAGUUGAAGGUGAUUAGAAGGCAUUUAUUUCUUCUGUUUUGUCAAAUAUUUGGGGUUUUGGUUUCUAGCAAGAAUCCCCACAGUAGCCGGUCAAUUGAUUUUUUUUUUUUUUUUUUUUUUUAUAAAUCUAACUCUCAAACCUAAGUCUAAAGUUUAUAUUUAAGGUUAAUACCUGAUUUUCAAAUAUAAAUUUGAUUCCGGUUAACGUAUUUUCAGGUGGUUAAAACACAAAACAUUUUUUUUUUCCGGUAAAAAAUCUAAAAUGUAUAAGUCAAACCUAAAAGUUAUUUAACUGGUUUAAUGAGAAUAAGUAGAAAGAGAGAGUAAAGAGAGAACAAGUAAAAAGAGGAGGGAGAAGUAGAAGCAGGAGCGACAGGGAAGGAGACAAAGAGGAAGGUAAAGUAGAGGGAGGAGGUGGCGGGAGUGCAGUUACAGCAAGAGGAAAGAACGGCACGGGUAUGGAGAUGGCUGAGCCUGUCAGCGUUUAUUCAGUGUCUAGGGUCUUCACUUCAAUGACGCCUCCCGUACUAGUACUUGUCACUGCUGUUGUUCUCCCGGCGUCCUAACUCAUAUUAUCUCUCCCUCUGCGUAACCCCGGUCCUGCCAACGACGCGUUUUCCUGUUCGAUCCCCCGCACCAUCACUUUUUAUAUGUCUCCCAUUUUCUUUUUUUUUUUUCUUCUUUUUUUCUCUCUUUAUAUAAAAAAAAGAAGAGAACCCAUCCGAUAGUGUGCGGCGCUGGUAAUAUUACUUCCGGUUUUUCUUAACUCCUUCUUCUUCAGUGUGAUUAACUCUAAUUCAACGUGACAAACUCCGAUAUAACGUGAUAAAUUUUGAUUAAACUUUAAUUCAACGCGGUGUUUUCAUCAACAUGUCAAACUCUGAUACAACGUGAUAAACUCUUAAUUCGACGUGACAAAUUUUUCAACGUUGAAUCAGAGUUUAUCAAAAUUUACCAUAUUCAAUUCAGAGUUUGUCACAUCGAAUUCAGAAUUUAUCACGUUGAAUCAGAGUUUGAUUCAACGUAGUGUUUUUUAUCUUUAACGUGUUAAAUUCUGAUUUAACGUGAUAAACUAUUAGUUUAACGUGAUAAACUUUUCAAUGUUGAAUCAAAGUUUAUUAAAAUUUAUCACGAUGAAUUUCAGAGUUUGUUAUAUUGAAGAUAAAAUACAUCACGUUAAUCGGAGUUUAUCAAAAUCUAUCACGUUAAGUAGGAGUUUACCACGUUGAAACAGAGUUUGUUAUGUUGAAAAAAAAAGAAGGAAGAACAAUGAAAAACCGGGAAGGACAUCAUCGGUAUCAUAUACUACGGUAAGGGUGUUCUUCUUUUCAUAUAAAAAAAGAUAAAAAAAAAAUUUAAGAAAGAAGAAGAAAAAGAAGGUGGACGUAAAAAAAAACGAUGGUGCGGGAAGGGGAGUGGGAGAUAGCGUUGUUGGCAGGGGCCGGCAGGGGUUGAGGUUAUACGAGAGAGAGGGGCAGGAAGAGUUUAGGACGUCGUUAUAGUAGGGAUAGCGGUAAGUGACGGUAUGAGAAGUGGUGUCGGAGUGGAGGUACUAGAAAUGGUAUAGUAGCAGUAUCUUCAGCCGCCUUCACACCCGUUACGUUCUCUCUCUUCGCGGAGUAGCCGCACCCGCAGCCACCUCCACCUCCGCUUCUUCCUCCCUCUCCUUCAUCCUCUUCUUUCUCUUUCCCUGCCGUUCUUCCUCUCUCUGUUCUCAUUUCUCUUUUUGUUUACUCUCUUUUUCCUCUUUCUUUCUCUUUAUUCUCAUAAGAUUAAUUCAAUAAUUUUUAAAUCUCGAUUAGACGUUUUAGGUUUUAUCUACAUAUAAAAACGUUUUUGUGUUUUAGUUAUUUAAAAAAAAUAAGUUUAACCGGAAUUAAACUAAAACUUAAUUUAGGUAUUAAAUCUAAAUCUCAAUCUAAAUUUAAACUUAAGUAUAAGUUUAAGUUUACAACUUGAGUUAAAUUUAAGUUUAAGUUUAAAACUUGAGUCAAAGUUUAAGUUUUCGUCUUAAACUUAAACUACAUGUUAAAGUCUAGAUCUUGUCAUAAAAUUUUUAGUCCACCUUGGGAUUUGGCCGGCCAGUUUGACCAGUCUGGCACUGGCUCAGGGAUCCGGCUAAGUCGCUGGGACUUUUUACCUUUCGAAAUUUUAAACAUAACUGGGCACACUAGCUGACAAGUUAGCUAUUUGGCCACAAGGCUUUUACGAAUAUUAGUUUGGCCAGGCUUGAGAGAGUGAAUAUUAAUCUAGAAAAAUAAUUUAUAAUUUAUUAGCUUGAUUUAUAAAAUAGUAUUUUCGUGUUUCCGUUGUUCUUGCCUUGACGUAAUAGUUUUGAGGGUAUACUACAGGAAUGUUAACUUAGUAUUGUAUACAUCUUCAUUUUAAGUCUCGGUUUAUUUUUGUUUAAAUUUUUUUUAAUUUUUUUUUUUUUUGAUUUCUUUUAAUUCACUUUUUCACUCCCCUUUCGUCUCUCCUUUACGGAGAUAGAUAGUCUAUUAUGCUGAUGUGAAUGUACUCGGUCUAACGGAGACUACAAAGUUUGAACAUGGUGUUUACCUUUUUNUUUUAAAAAAAUCAAUAAAUAGAAGGAAAAUAAAAUUGUAGAAGAUAUUGUUUAAUAAAAUUAAUUAUAUAUACACACAUACACUAUAUUUUUAAAAUUUUACUCCUGAAACUUAAAUUCCGUAUUUUUUUUAUACAAUGAAAUUUUAUGUGAUUUAAAUUUCAUCUAUCAAAUUAGAUUUUAUUAUGCGAUUUAUUAUGUGUAUCUUUAAUAAAAUUAAUUAAUUACUAGUGUAGUGACCCGCGCGAUGCGGCGGGUAGAUAUAUUAUAAUAUUUUAAAAUUUAUUCUAUAAAUUAUUUUGUAGAGAGUAGAACAAAUUUAUUUUAAAAAUUUUAGUAAUUUUAAAAUAUAUUGAAAAGUAUGAAGAUCAUUUUUUUUGAAUAUUCUAAUUUUUAACACUGAAACAUCACGAUAGGCAUCGAACCAUAUUUAUUUCCAAAAACUUUGUAUAAAUGUCUUAUUAUAUAGAUAGUGACGUGUAGGUUUAAUCAAAAACAACAGAAAAUAUAUUUAGCAAACAAAUUCCAACAUAUCCAUUAGAUUUCGUUAAGUAUAGUGUUAUGUUGCGUAAUAAUUAAUCAUUUAAAAAAUUCUAAACCGAGCAGCUUCUGCUGGUCUUUUAAUGAAGGUACCAUAGACUAUGGAUAUUUAUGGAUCCAACAAUAUAAAACAACAGAUUACACAUUUCUAAAUGAACAUCUGUCUUGAGUGAGUUGUGGUGAUCUUACUAUACAUAUAUGCUUUCGUGAUGGAUAGAUGUCAAUUGAAUGCACUAUGCCAGUGACAUUUCCUCUUCCCCUGCAACAUCAGUAUGCUCAUUUAGUCAAGCUAAACAGCAAAUUCAAAUAGCUUAUAGAGCUUACGAAGAUAAGUGAGUGUAGCCAUAUUUGGCAGAUAUGCUUCAACCAUAUUGCGGCAUCAUUAAUGAGAUUAUGAGAAUUGCACCGGAGCGCUGCGGCAGGGCCAAAGUGAUCUGAAAGCAACAAUGAAAAAGAAUAGAGCAAAAAGACAUUAAAACAUGCAUACUAUUUCUCUAGACAAAUCCGUAUAGAACACUUACUGAAAUGCAAUAGUACUAAAAGAGUAGUCAUACAAUUUAAUAAUGUUGAAAACUAAAAUUUCCUUCUUAUCGAUCCAAUGUUCUCAUUAUUACUUUUCUACUUCUUGUUCUGCAUUGCUAGCCAAGUUGGAUGGUUGCAUGCAGAGCACAUUAUGCAGGCCUCGCCUUUAGCUGAAAUAGGAGUAUGAGAAGAAAAUUGAGUUAGAAAUUUAGCUAAAGAAUGGAAUAACGUCAACAGUAGCAAAAUGACAAAGGAUAAAAAAAAAAUUCUCUUAUGUUACUACAUAAAAGCUUCGUCACACUCCAUAAAUAGCAAGUUGCACCAAAACAAAUAUUAAAAUCAAGGCUCGGUUUUUCUUUCUAAAAAUCCGAGUUCAUUUUCUUACAACGAAAAAAGAGAACUCUCAACAUCAAUGUAAAAAAAGAAAAUAUUGCGGGAACAAUUGUUAGUUUUAUUAAUUGGCAUAAAAUUAAGCAUAUCUGCCUCUGGAAAGUAAAACUUUUUAAGAGAUAUUGCGUGGAAACAAACUCGGUAUCACAGAGCCCCUUGUGUCAUCAUUGCCUUACAUUAGAUAGCAAAAGUACCGUGUAAAAUAUUAUUCCAAAAUAGAGAAUUAGAGCUUUAAAAUUACAAACCUUCUGCAUCACAAAGUCCCUUGUCUCAUCAUUGCCUUACGUUACAUAGCAAAAGUAGUGUGGAGACUAACUGUUUUAAAGUAGAAAGACAAAGUAUUGAGAACGGAACAAAUAUAUUGAAAAGGCUAGCAAACCUGUGAGACAGCAAGAAGGACCAAAAUAUUUGGUAAAAUAAGAGGCCAAAGAAUAGCACAACAUAAAGACAACUAAAAGCAAAAUACUCGUCAAGUAUACAAAGCUCGAUAAUGAGAACGAAGACAAAAAGGAGAAAGCCAGUGAGAAAAAAGAAAAAAGAAACGAAUUAGAUCACAUACAUAGUCACAUAAAAUCAACUAAGAAUGAAAAAGAAAAGGUUCAAGAAACUAAACUUUUCGCGAGGCACGUAUUAGGGGAGGCCUAAUUGGAAAAAGGUUUUCUUUAAAAUCUAUAGCGAUGAAAAAAAGAUUAGAGAAUAAAUGAGAAGGCAAGGUGGCCAAAAGAUUGUAUGUAUAAAGCCUAAAGCAACAGAUUUGUUAAACAUAAGAUGUUUAGAGGUGAGCUUUACGAAAUCCACAUUCAAACAAAACAAAUUUUAUACAAAUUUAACCCAGAAAUUGCUUUUUAAUAUAUUAUAGAGAUUGUUCCAACGUUUUAGUCCUAAUCGAAAGAUAUAUAAUUAGAAGAAUCUUACAAAGACCAAUCAGAAAUUACUAUAGAAAAAAUUGCCAAUCAACUAAUCACUAAGCAAUAUAAGCAAAUAAAGAUUCAGAUAGCAACACUAUUAUUUGGGAGGCUGAAGAGCUCAUACUCUCCUCUUUGAUUCAGACCCCUAUAGAAGAUGAAUAGCUACAGCAAUUGCUAUAUAGCUAUCCAAGCUAACUUAUCUAUUAAAACUAAUUCUUUGUUUUAUCUAUUAAAACUAAUUCUUUGUUUUAUCUAUUAAAACUAAUUCUUUGUUUUAAAGAAUGUAAUAAAGCCAAUGAGUAACAGGACCUAAAACUCAAGAUCGUCUGUUCUGAUACGAUGUUAAUUUGAAAUAGCCGUUUAUCUCAAAAAAUUCAAAGUAUGAAAAAGUCAGUAUUUUUUAAUAUUUAUAUUCAACAUUUUGGAUAAUAUUGAGUCAGAUCACAAUCCUCUCAGAUUAAAGAGGUUUUGGAGUUCGAUUUACAUCUAUCGUAUCAUAUACGUCAAUCAUAUUUUUAGGUUCACAGGUAGCAUUUCUUUUUAACUUUUACUCGAUAUCAUCUUACUAAGUAUCUUGUUAAGUAUCUUAAAUAAGAUUGCAUAUCCUUAACUUAAGAAAAAUACUGUAAAAUACAUUCUAAGGUGAAAGAUGGCUAAGUAAUAAAUAUAUGUGUUAGUACAUAGUUGAAUUUGAUUUACAUUGAGCUCUGAAUAGAUGCAUCAGAGUCUAAUCUGCUUUCAUUGAACUAUAACUAUAAAUAUAUGUUUUAGAGUUCAGUAUGAUUUGGUUUGACUUGAGUUCCAUGAGAAGGCGCCACACAUAAUCUAUAUUCUGAUGGCAUUCAAGAGAUAGUCAUCAUAGUACGGGAAAAAAAUUAGGUGCAGUCAAAGUAAGCAAGUAAUAUUAGCAAAAUAACAAUGAAUCAUGAAGCAAUGCAGACCAUGAAAAGGCAUCAAACAUAAUCUAAAUUCUCAGGGCAUUCAAGAGAUAGUCAGCAUAGCAUGGACAAAAAAUAGGCGUAGUCAACAACUCGAGAAAUAACAAUUCAAGAGGGAUUCAUCAUAGCAUGGACAAAAAUAGUCAAAGGGAAAGUGCCCGAGAAACGACAAAACAUUUAUAUAAACCAAUCAAGAAGGGUUGGGUCUCUAUCAAUUAUCGAAAGCUGAAACGUACUUGCACACAAAACUAUAUGAAAAUAAGUAAAUGCCUAUAUGAAAAUAUCACAUUAGUCAAGUAAAUAGUCAAGUAAAAUAAGUGACAUGAAUACUGGGGAACAUGUAAAUGCCUAUAUGAAAAUAUCACAUUAGUCAAAUAAAUAGUCUCUUUGACAUAAGAAUAAUCUCCUCAAUGUGUUUUUAUAGUGCAAGAAAUCAAUUCUCCUAUACAUGGUUAAACUAUGCACCAAUAGAGGAUAAACCAUUAAUAUCAAAAAUAUAAUUUCGCAUCGUCAUCAUACAGAUACCUAUCUCAAUCUGAGCCUGUUUAGCUUGAUCAGGACAAAUUGAACUUGUCUAACAUACUCCGUUGGAGGAACAAAUCAGCUUAAUCAAUUAAAAACAAUGCCACAGAACAAAUCAUUAUGAAUAUGUCAGUUUAUUGAUGAUGAACAAAUUGAAACAACUUGAUCGGAUUUAUAUUAUCGUAUGUUGCAUUAUGAAUUUCAUUCCUAAUCAAUAGUUGCACUAUCAAAACUCACCUUGACCAAGCUUAAACUUUGAUGGCGUCCCAUGAUUACGGGUUGAGUUGAACUUGGUCCCGUCAAUAAGUGUCCGAGUGUAAUGCACGGCAAAAUUAAUCAACACUCAAAACCAGGCAAAACACAUACCAAUUGAUCAGACUAUUUUUGAUAUCUUCGAUCCAAAUCAAUUAGGAAUGCAACCUUUUUUCGGGAAAGGAAAAAGUUAAGAACAGUAGGAAAAAGAAAAAGAAAGGAAUAAAGGAAAAAGGAAAAAAUUAAGCAGUCUUGACGAAAACCCCAAAAAGGUCAGGCUCAGUUAAGUCGGCAAAAAAUGCUCAUAAGCACAGGAUAGUAAUAGGACCAAUAGAUUACCAUAGGAGGAACAUGUAUGGAACGACGAAGGAUAAGAACAAUAGGAAGCGGUUGCCUGUGAAUAGGCCGUCCAAACUUCCGCUUGUUCAAAGCCAUCAUUUUCCACGUUCUCCUCUACUUAUCAUCACCGCCUCAAAGAAGAGAUACAAAAUAGCAAGAAACAAAAAAGAAUAAAGGAAACCAAGUAGAAUUAAUAAAACAACAAUGUAUUGAAGCAGUCAAGUCCAUCCAAAGCUACCACAUUUAAUCCCAAACAAAGACAGGAAUAGCAUAUUUGAGUACAACCAAUUAUCUGUAAAACUGAGUCUAUCCAAAGCUACUACAUUUAAUCCCAAACAAAGAUACGAAUACCAAAUUUGAGUACAAAGAAACAUCUUUAAAACUGUUUUCUCACAAAUUAUCCAACAACCAAUCAGAAAUAAAAUAUCAAAGGAUCAUAUUUGGCUACCAACUAAACAUGAAGUGACCCAAUGUCACACCUCGUGCAAGUAAAGAAUGUAAAAAAAGAGAAUUGUUGGCAAAUUUUCAAUUGCCUUCCGACAUUCUAUGUCCCUAACUCUGUUACAAUACAAAUCUUCUUUAAAUUCCAUAGUCAUUUGACUUUGAGCUCUAUAGACUAUGCAUUUGAUUGAGUAUUGCUAUAAACUUUCUUGGUAGUUAGAAUACAAUUUCAAAGCCAAAGAUGCUCAAUUUGAAUCUAUUUGAUUGAGUAUUGCUAUAAACUGUCUUGGUAGUUAGAAUACAAUUUCAAAGUACUUGAAACAAAGUGUUGAUCGUCCUCAACAGAAAGAAUGAACACACAAUUCAUUAGUUCUAAUAGGUUGAGCCAUAUAUUUCGAAGUACAAAAGCAACUUGAUACAUGGUUUAUGCUCGGUUUUGCUUCUAUGUUAUUAUAGGUACCAAGAGCUAAAGAAAGAAAGUUCAAAGCUUCCAUUGUUCAAACUGAACAAACUUAAUGCAUCAUUACCUGUACCUUUGAUACCAAGGAGCUCUGUAGUUCUUUUCAUUAUGGGUGCAAGUGAUGACUUCAUAGUCGCCAAGAACGUCGGGCCAAUUAUCGCAAUCAUUUCACAUUCAAGGAAAGGUGCAUUAUAGUUUGGGAUAAAAGCAGGUGGAAGCUCAAUUGUUGCAAUCAUGUAACAUUCAAGGUAAGGACUAUGAAGAAAAACAAAGAGCCGACAGCCAGCAGGAAGGCAUAGGGAACCUGCAGAAAUCGAAAACAGGGACUUGCGGAUUCCACGACAUAUAAUUUUUUUUGCUGCGAAAAUCAAGGCGAAGGAAAAGCAAAAGAAUAGAGUUUUUUCUAUAGAACACCUCAAAACAAUGAUGUAAAAUAACCAAGUCUUGAAAGGUUGCUAAAACAAAAAGGGAAAAAGAAAUCGAAUGCAGGUAAAAGCAAGUCGAAAACAAAGAGAUUUGACAAAUCAAAGCCAAAGAUGCAGUUUGGGAAAAUCCCAAUAGUUUAAAAAAACAUGAAACUAAUAUUUACAAAGAAGAGAAGAGUAAAGAGGAGCAGCAAAUAUGGAUAGAUAUGGAAAUAAAUAAAUAAUUUUUGCUCAGACACCCCUAGUUAUCAAGCAUUAUCAGAUUGGCAGCGAAGCCUUCCCGAUUAAUAGUGCCGACCGAGCUAGAAACCAUGCGCACGCCGAAACCAUUCUUAGCACAAAUGAGAACAACUGGUUGCUUAAGAACUAAGCCAUCCAAAGUGCUCUCAUUACCAAUCAAGAAAGCGCAGGCCUUUCUCAAUUAUCACGACUAUCUGAUAUUGGGAAGGUCAUCAUCGCACGGGAGGAAAACGGGGAAGACAAAGUCUCGGGGAAUAGAAGGGUCAAAUUCUUAUCACAUUCAGGUGAAAGCAAAGUAACCCACAACAGACAAAACAUUGCUAUAAACUGCACAUGACCGAACUACAGUUCUUCCCCCCUCUUUUUACUUUUGUCUGGACUUCUUUGGGACCCCAAAUCUGAAAUUGGAAACGGCCCCUCCUCAAACCGUUCCACCUAACCAGCACAUCUAAUAUAUAUCUAUUUUUUUAUAAACCAUGCUGAAGGAAAGGAGAAAGGAGGAGCCUGCGGAUUCCAGGGCACUUUUUUUUCUCUUUUUUUUUUAAAACCAUGCUGCAGGAAAGGGGAAAGGAAAGAGUUUUAUCUAGAGUUGCUAAUUUAUACCUCUAUUUACAUGAUCAGACAUAUAUAUGUAAAGGAAUAACAUUUACCACCAUCCCCAGCGCUGCACCCCACCUCUCCGAUGCCCGCGAAGCGCCCUGCAAUCGCCUCGGCAUUUCAUCGAACAGGGCGCGAGCGCUCGGGAGAGGGCGCGGGGGCCUGCGAGCUCCUUCGAUCGAUCGCGUGAUGGCGAGGGGGAGGAGGAGAAGAAGAUCCUUGCAGAUCGAAAAGAGAUCUGAGAGAGUUCGGUGUGGAUCUGCAGGACCUCCGCGCCCUGAGGGGCGACAGGGGAAGAAGGCGAAGAGAGGGGCGCGCGAGAAAAGGUAUGAGAGAGAUCGAAGAGGCGGAGGAAGGAUCGAAGAGGCAGAGGAGGGAUCGAAGAGGCGGUUGUGGGGGAGGGUUCGAAGAGGCGGAGGUUGUAGGGGAGGGUUCGAAGAGGCGGGGCAGGGAUCGAAGCGGUGGGCAUCAGGGAGCGAUCGAAGAGGCGGGGUGAAUGAAUAAAUGGGAUCUGAAGUGGCGUGGUGAUGUGGGAUUGAAUUAAGAUGGAUUAAGGAAAAUUGGACACGUGGCAAAAUAGAACGGGAAAACUAAUUAUUAAUAAAUUUAAUUAAUUAAUUAAUUUCAUAGAGUUUAGAGAUUUAAAAUUUUAAACUUUGAAGCUUAAAAUUUAGAAAUAAAUAAUAUAAGUAAAAAAUAAAAUUUAAAAUUUAAAUAUAAAAUAUAAAAUUAGAAAAUUAAAACUUUAAAAUUUUGAAGUUUAAAAAGCUUAAAAUUUAGAAAUAAAUAUUAUAAGUAAAAAUUGAAAUUUAAAAUUUAAAUAAAAAAUAUAAAAUUAGAAAUUUAAAACUUUAAAAUUUGGAAGUAUCAAAAUUUUAUAUUUUGAUAUAAAAAAUUUAAAACUUUAUAUAUAUAUAUAUAUAUAUAUAUAUAUAUAUAUAUAUAGAGGGAGAGAGAAGGGGGGUUUGGGGGGACACGUGUCACCUUGUGGUCCCCCCAAACCCUCCUUUAAUGUAGUUAGAUAGAUAGAUAGAUAUUUAGUUCGAUUAUUUAAUAUUUAAUAAAAAGAUCUAAUUAUAAGUGAGAGAGUUCGGACCGGUUUGAUUAUUAGCAUUUUCGGAACACCGGUUUAUCGAUUGAACAGUCGAUCACACGGGUCAAUGCAAAUUUUAAAGCUUUCCAUUUUUCAGGGUCGCCGAAUCGGCCGACGGACUCGGUCACGGUCUGACCAGUUUGACCGGCCGGUUUAGGGUUUAGGGUUCGACCUGAUUUUUAAAAUACUGUUCUAGAUCUGAAAUUGUACAUCAAAUUCAAAUUCUGCUUUUGAAUUUGAAACUGAGUUCAAAAUUUGAAUUUGAAUUUAAAUUGAGUUCAACAUUUGAAUUUGAAUAUGAAUUCAAAUUUAAAUCUAAAUUUAUAUUCAACUUUAAAUCUAAACUAGUUAAGAGACCCGCGCGAUGCUGCGGGUAGUUAUUUUAAAAUUUAAUUUUGAAAAUUAGUUAUAAAAAUUAAUUUCAGAAUUUAAAUGGUGCAAUAAGUAUAUCAAAAAAUUUUAGUAGGCAUAGUAGUUCCCCAUUAGUUAGUAAAAUAAUUUUAGUAGAUAUCGUAGUCCCCAGUAGUUAGUGAAUCAGAUAAGAAAUCAUUGUUUGUGAUUCUUGCAAUUAAUUUUCGUCAAAUAUAAAAUUAACUUAAGCUGCAUCAAUUUUCUUUUAUUUUUUAAUGUACAAUUUAUAUGUGAAUGCUCAAUAUUAUAAAAUUAAUAUUUAUAUCCAGUAGUCUAAAUUAUUUAACAUUUAUUUAUAUAUUUUACAUUUUAUAAAAAUAAAUAGUAAAUUAUAUAAUAAAUUAUUAUAUAAUAAUAUAUCUAUAUAGAAAUAAAAUACUAUAUAUAUUAAAUAAAUAUAUAUAAUAAAUAAAUAUAUAUUUAUAAAUAAAAUUUUACAUAUAUAUAUAUAUAUAUAUAUAUAUAAUGAGAGGGAGGUCCACCGUGGACCUCCCUCUCACGUGGUCCACAGGCCGAAAUGGCCUCGUGGACCCCGAUAAAACCCCAAGAGCCGCGAUUUUUUUUCGGCUCUGCGCCGACCCCGCGCCGCACCCCCUCCCCCCUCGCUGGCUCCCACCCUCGCCCCGCGGCGCCAGCGCCGAAGCCCACCCCUGCGCCUGCGCUCGGGCCAGCACUUGUCGCGUGUCGCACUCGUGCCAGCGCCCGCUCCGCUCCCGCCGGCACGCGUCGCCUCCGCCCUCGCUCCGCCGGCCCGACCCUCUCGCGCCCCGCGCCGGGUGCUGCGCCAGCUCCGGCUCGCGGCUCCGCCCGGGCCGCGCCUGCUCCCGCUCGCGCCCCGGGCCUCGGGCCCGCAACUCGGCCUUCUCGCGACACGUGUGCAGUUAUUGAGGAAUAAUAGAUAGUUAUAUAUUAUGGAUUUAAUUCAAAAUCAAAUUGAGGCCAAUUUGAAUAAAAAAAAUCUAUUGAUUUUGUGUUUUUGCAAAACUAUACAUCUAUUUUGGAUUUUGCAGAUUAGCUCUAAAUUUUUAAUAAAUUAAUUAGAAUACUCUUAUUCCUCUUUCUUUCUCCUUUUUCUCUCAUUUGUUUUUCUCUUUACUCGUCUCUCACCUUCUCGUCGUCCCUUUCUCUUUCUUUUCCUACUUUCUCUCCCUCCUUCGCCUCCGCCUCCACCUCCACCGACCCCCACGCCGAUGAGGCGCUUCUCUCUCUUGCAUUGCCCAUACUUUCGCCGACUUCUAUUACGAUGAUAUGGUAAAGAUUAUGGAGGUGAGGCUGUGGUGAAGAGUAUGGCAGUGAAUGGCGACAGGGAUGAGAUUGUUGUAGGAUUUGAGAAGGAUUGGGCGAGAGAGCAUAUUGGAGUUGGGGACGGUUGGGGUCGGUUGUUGCGACAGAGGGUGAAGGGAAGGGCGCGGUAGCAAAAAAAAAAUGGAGGUGGAAGAAAAAGAAGAAGAAAGAAUUUUUAAAAAAACUAGAAAAAAAAUAUACUUUUCUUCUUGUGGGAAUGACAUCAUAUACUAUGGCUACUACAGGAAGGGCCAAAAAGUAGAAAGAAAGAAGAAAAAUUUUUUUUUACUGUUUGAGACAAAGUUGCACCAUUUGAGGAUGAAUUGCACUAUCUAAAACUAUUUGAGGCUAAUUGCACUACAUAAAAUAAAAGUUAUAUUAUUUGAGACUUUAAGUAGCACUAUUUAAAAUUAUUUGAAACUAAGUUGUAACUUUUCAAAUAGUGCAACUUGAUUCCCAAAUAGUGCAACUUAGUCUUAAAUUGUGCAAUUUUUAUUUUUUGUGAUGCAACUUAGUUUGAGACUAAGUUGCACUAUUUAAGACUUAAGCUACACUGUUUGAGACUUAACUUAUACCAUUUAAAACUAUUUGAGACUAAGUUGCAACUUCUUAAACAGUGCAGCUUAAUUCUCAAAUACUGCAACAUAGUCUCAAACUGUACAACUACUUUUUUGGUGCAACUUAAUUUCAAGGGUUAAAUGCAUACAGGUCCCUGCAAACAUAGUCAAUUGCGGAAAUAUCCCUGCAAAACGGAAACUCCAUAAGUUAUCCCUGCAAAAGUCUAAAGUUAUGCAGAUAUGUCCCUGCCGUUAAGGACUGUUAGAAAAUUUUCGUUAACCACGGUUAAAGUACUUAACCAUGGUUAAUUAUAAGGUAAAUUUACGAUCCUACCCUUCUUCUUCUUCCUCAUCUUCUUCUUCCCUCUUCUUCGUCGCCGGCGAGGGCGGCGGCGGCGGCGGCGGCGGCGACGACGGCGGCGACGGCGAACCCUCUCUCUUUCUUUUCCUCCUUCUUCCUCUCCCUCUUCCCUUUUCUCCCUUCUUCUUCCUCUUCCUUUUCCUCUUCCCUCUUCUUCAUCGCCGGCGAGGGAGAAGAUCCGACGGCGGCAGCGAAUCCUCUCCCUCUCCCUCUUCUUCUUCCUCUUCCUCUUUCUUUUCCUCUUCCUCUUCCUCUUCCUCUUCCCUCUUCUUCGUCGCCGGCGAGGGAGGAGAUGCGGCGGCGGCGCGCGGCGACGAACCCUUUCCCUCUUCAUCUUUCUCUUCCCUCUUCCUCUCCCUCUUCCUCUCCUUCUUCCUCUUCCCUUUUUUUCUUCCUCUCAUUCUUUCUCUUCCCUCUUCUUCGUCGCCGGCGAGCUCGACCCGCGCCGUCGCCGCCAUCCGCUCCGGCGGCCCGAAGAGGAAGAGGAAGAGAAAGAGAAUGGGAAGAUGCUUUUGGAGGGAUAUAUUUGUGAGGGCAAAAUGGUCAUUUCACAUGAAAACUGUUAAAAAAUAAACAGUUCUCUAACAGAUGUUAAUCAGAGGGACAUAUCUGCAUAAAUUAGGACUUUUGUAGGGACAACUUAUGGAGUUUCCGUUUUGCAGGGAUAUUUCCGCAAUUCACUAUGUUUGCAGGGACGUGUAUGCAAAUAACCCUAAUUUGAAAUUAGUUUUAAAUAGUGCAAUAUAGCCUCAAACACUGCAACUUAAUCUCAAACAGUGUGACUUCUUCUUCUUCUUCCUCAAUUCUUUUUGGCCUUCAUUAUAAUGGUCGCGGUGUGUGAUAGCCUACCCAAGAGAAGAAAAAAAAAAUAUUUCUCUCUUUUUUUUUUUCUUGUUUUUCUUUUACCCUCUGUAUAUUUUUCGCUACCACGCCCCCUAGCUUGUCCUUUUACGCAGCAACCGUCCCGGCCCCAAUGCGUCUCCCUCCCUAUUAUACUCAGUCCUGCGGCCCUCUUGUUGUCGUCACUGUUCAUGGUCAUGCCCUCUGCAGUAACUUCAUUUCCGUGAUCUGUGACUUAUUUGCGGCUGUCCGAGUCGGUAGAGGUAUGGGCAAGGCAAGAAAGGAGCAUGGCAUUGACGUGAGGGCGGUGGAGGAGGGAGAUGAAAUGGAAGGAGAAACAGAGGAAGGGACAGCAAGGAGGAAGAUGAAGACGGAGGAGAAAAAUGAACAAGAGAGAAAUGAGAGAGAAAGAUGAAUAAGACUAUUUUGGUCAAUUUAUUGAAAAUCCAAACCGAAUAUGUAAAAUCUAAAAAAUGGCCUUUUUUUUUUACAAAACACGAAAUUGGUGGACUUUUACGCAAUUAGCCUUAGUUUAAAUAUAAACUUUUAGUCCAUAAUUGGAAUUUAUAUUUGAAAUCUGAAUCCAAACUCUCAAUCUAAAUUAAAAUAAGAAUAAGAAUUUAAAUUUGAAAUUAUAAUUUAAAAUCUAACGUUGAAUUUGAAAUUGAUUUAAAAAUCUCAAUAUGAGUUCAAAAUUUAAAUUUGAAAUUUAAAUUUGAAUUAAAAUUUUAAUUAAAAUUUUAUAAUUUAAAAUAAAAUUGCCACGCAUGGGACUAAAACAAAAGUUUUUUUCGGGCACAUGCAUAGACUAGUCGUUUGUACAAGAAUGCCCUCAUACACACAUGUUAACAACCAACCAAUUUCAACAAUUUUUAUACAAUGUAUCUAUUACUAUAUACUAAACUCCGUGGACUAAAGUUACUGUGCUGACAUGUGUCCCUUGACUAUUUUCGGUGAACCUGGUGUACCAUAGACCAGCCUCCCCUCCGCUUUGUCCUUAUAUAUAUAUAUAUAUAUAUAUAUAUAUAUAUAUAUAUAUAUAUAUAUAUAUAUAUAUAUAUAUAUAUGAGUGAGGCUACCAUGCUAUUGGAAGCACGGAGCCUUUCGUGCUUCCAGCUUGUUUUCAAUAUUGCGACUUUUGAAUCGUCAAUCGGCUCCGUUAAACUUGAUCUAGAAUAUUUGAAGUACCUAGAAAAUAAAUUUUAUGAUUUUACGAUAUCAUUUGCCUAGUGAACGAAGGGGCUCAAAAUUAGCGGCUGAAAAUAAAAAUCUUACAAAAUGUAAUAAUGUGACAUUAAAAUUUUAAAUCAAAGAUAUUGAUCUUGUUUUAUAUAGUAUAAAGAAUUUUCUAUCAAAAUUUCACGUGAUUUGGAUAUUUCUACACUGUUAAACUUGCAAACGGCUUAUUACGCCAUUGGAAAUUUGUUGAUUUUGAGCACCAUUCGAUCGCUAGGCAAUAUGGAUAUCAAAAUAAUAAAUUAUUUUCUAGUACUUCCAAAACUUUAGAUCAAGUUUAACACGACGCCCUUAUUGGAUGAAUUCGAAAGCGCAAACAUCGAAAACGAGCAAAGCACGGAGUGCUACCGUCUUAUCGUCAUAGAUAGUAGCCUCACUCUAGUUAUAUAUAUUAUUAAUAUAUAUAUAUAGAGGUCUUGUGUGCUAUAGGGAGCACGGAAGCCUCCCGUUGCCUCCUUAAGCCUUUUUCGGAUGAUUGCUUCAGAAUCGAACGAUCAGCUCCGUUAUACUUUAUCUAGCGUAUAUGAAUUAGUAUGUAAAAAUAAUAUUUUUACGAUUUUCGAUUUUCGAUAUCAUUUAACAUAAGUGAUCGAAAGGUUUCAAAUCAAGUCCUGAAAAUAAAAAUCUCAUGACGGAAAGAGUGGUUGAAUAUAGCACUAAAAUUUCGAUCAGAGAUAUUGAUCUCGCUGUAAUAUAGUUAUAAAGAUUUUUCUUAUCAAAAUUUCAAUAUAUUUGAAUACUUAAAUUUUACACGUUAAACUUGCAAAACGGUAUACUUAACCAUUAAAAAUUAGUGAUUUAAACUAAUACUAUAAAUAAUAUUACAAUUAACAGCAAAUUUAUUUCUGAUACUUUAAAUAUGUUAUAUCAAGUCUACAGGCCGAUCGCCAUUCGAUAAUAACUCCUAUCAUUCGAAAACGUCUUAGGAGCAUGGAGGCCUCCGUGACUCCUUCCAAUAGCCACACAAGACCUAUUUAAUAUAGUAUAUAAUAUAUUAUAUAUAUAUAUAUAUAAUAUAUAAUAUAUAUAUGGUUUUCAAAUUUUAUAUUGUAAAAUUUUAAAUUUUGGAUAUCAAAAUUUUAAAUUCCAAAAUUUCAAAUACUAAAAUUGAAAUUUUACUAUUUUAAAAUUCAUAAUAUUUAUUUUCAAAUUAUCAACUUCAAAAAUUAAAAUAUUGAAUUCCUAUUGUACUUUCUCUUUUACUUAAUUUUUAUCUAAUUUAAUGUUCAUACAUUUUUCUCUUUUUUCCCCUCUUUUAUCAAAAAAUGUGCAUGCCACUUUCCUCUCUCUUAGUUUAUAUCACGCCCCGGGUUCCAGUAGAAGCCCAUCCGGUGUGUGCACAGACACGCCGUGUACACCAAGCACCCUUGGCGUACACAAGGCGUCUACAACAACAAUAUCAAGGAAAGGAAGUAAGAAUGAAUCCUAAACUUGGCGCUCAUAGCAAGCAUAUAAAUCUACUACAUAAAAGAGUCUAGUACAAAAACACCUUCACAAGAUAUACAGUAGGUAUAAACAAAUGGUACAACUCGAAUACUAGUAGAUCUCUAAACAAAAUACAUUUGUAUAUCUUUCUGUUUGAAGUUAAAAAAAAAAGAAAAAAAGAAAAGAAAAAAAGGUAAAGUAGUCCUAGUCAAAACUGAUUAAAUUCGGACUCAUAUAAUCCCAAUGGAUCUCAUAUUAACCGAGAAAUUUUGGGACCAAUAAUUAUAAUUUAAAUCCACAAUAGGCCCAUUCAUGAAUGUGAGUUGGUGGGCCUCAUAAAAGCCCUUUAAAAUUUUAGACCUGUAUAAUAAUUCGGGCCUCAUUUCAGCCCAUUAAAUAUUAUCAUUUGUGCCCAACAAAUUUUAUUAAAGUGGGCCCGAUCAAUGACGGCUCAUAUCCACACCCUAGAAAAUAUCUGUUAUUCUAACAACCCCAUUCGAAAUUCGAUUUCAAAUAACAACCAAUUCAAAAUUCGAUUUCGAAUUUCGAAUUUCCAACCGACUCCUAAAAUAUCUUCCAACCAACCAUAACAACCGAUUCAAAAUUCGAUUUCGAAUUUCAAAUUUCCAACCAACUCCCAAAAACCUUCCAACAAACUACAACCGAUUCAAAAUUCGAUUUCGAAUUUUGAAUUCCCAACCAACUCCCAAAAUAUCUUCCAACCAACCACAACAAUCGAUUCAAAAUUCAAUUUUGAAUUUUGAAUCCCCAACCAACUUCCAAAAUAUCUCCCAACCAACCACAUCCAUUCGAAUUUUGAAUACCUAUCCAUCCAACAACCGAUUCAAAAUUCGAUUCGAAAUUCAAAUUCCCAACCAACUCCCAAAAUAUCUCUCAAUCAACCUGUAGGAUACCGAACUUAUAAAAAUAUGAAGUUGCGGGGUAUGUUGGUUUGGAAAGCCAUUAGAAUGAUUCCGGUGAAGUUCGGAAGCAUUCGGGCGUUUUCGGAGCGCGUAGGCGUGAAAACGGGACCCGAAAGGCUAUGUCGGACCAUGGACUAAAUCCAGCAUUAGCGUGGAUGAAAAGAUGAUGAAAAUACGCUCGAAAACAUGUUUGAAGAGUCUCGGUUCGAUUUGAAAAGAAUCGGAGGUCAAACGAGCAAAAACGAGAGAAAACGGAUCCCGAAAACGAAAAAGGCUGAAAUUUGGCUAAGUCCUAAAAAUGCUAGAAUUCUGGACCUUCGGGGAUCGGUCUCUCACUGCUAGGGACCGGUCCCCUAUACAAAAAUUGGCCCCGCGCGGGUAGUGCAGGAAACAUGAAGUUGAGGGGCUGUUUUGCAACUGUUGCACGAAUUGAGCUAUUAGAGAGGGGUAGAACUUAUCCCCUCUCAUUUCUCUCAUUUGCAAUCACCCAAAACACCCUCUCUCUCUAGAAGCUCUUCCUCUCUCUCUAGAAGUGGAAUCAAGAGGAGGAUUGGUGGAGAUUUUGGAGCUAGAAGAAGGAGCUUCAUCAUCUUCUUCAUCUUCUUCCUCCAUUUGCUUGGGGAAAAGCUUAGUAGAGAUAAGUUUUUGAACCACUCUCAUGGUGAAUGAUUUGGAUUAGGUUCAAAUACAUUAGAAAUGGAAUUUGUUGAUGCUCUAGAAGUAGUUAAUCUUAUUUAUUGUAAGAAAUGAUGCUAUAUGAAGUUUAUUGCAACAAUGGUGAUUUAGGGUAUCCAAAAGAGGGCUUUUGCUCAUGAGGGGUUUUGAUCUAAAUUAACCUCUCUCUAACCUAAUUGCUAGGUCUACGAACGCAACGGUGCACUCGGUUCGGCGAUCCGACGAGUGUACGCAGAGAUAUUGAGGAUCGAAGCCGUUAAGAUACAGAUUGCCGCAGCUCGCGGCGUAAGCUUCCAAAAAUCAUGAAAAUGGAAUCGUAGCAUCGUGGUAUCGGAGAAUAAACUCCAGAAUAGACGGAUCGCGGAUUGGUGGCCGUUCGGGUGGUCGCGCAAGAGUUUGGCCCGAACCGGAUCACGGGUGCCGCGGGAGGCCGAUUGCAAGUGACGACGAGCAAUCGGAAUGCGAUAAAAGGUGGGGGGUGUCCAUCCCGAAGUAACUGAGCUUCCUUUUAUGUCUAAGUUCUAUAUUUUGAUCAUAUUCCUAUAUGUUGAUAUAUUGUGCAUUAUAGGAUUAGUAGAUGAUUACAUUUCCAUUCCUUGCAUGUUACCUAGGUUGUGUAGCAUUGUGGGCUUGACACUUGAUCUUAGGUUGCAUGAGGAUUGGGUCUUGUGACAAGAAUCCUAUAGUGACAAGAAUGAUGAUGAACUUGGACAUGUAAUUGGCCUAGACGAGUGGCAUUUGGACUAGUGUAAUAAAGACACUAUAAUAUUGACGAGUGGCAUGUCGAUUUUGUGUAUUAAAACACAUAUAACAUCAUGACAUAAACGAGUGGCAUCAAAUCUAGUGUAGUGGAACACUAUGGCAUUUGAACCUAGGGAUAGUAGAUUUUUUCGAUUGUCAUGUUGUAGACAUUAUGUAUUUGGCAUUAGUGCAUUUGAGGCAUUCAUUAUGCAUUUGGUAUUGUGCAGCAGAGGCAUAUUGACCCUGGUAGAUAGGGUAUCCUCUUGUGAGGAUUGGAUCAUACUCACUAGUCUGUUUUUGCUUGUUAGUGGUCGCUCCACCGAGGCACGAGUCUUCGGAGUACUUCACUAGGGGCAAACGUAGUUGUCCCGCAGACGGUCUCGGUGUGCGAGUGCAGCUUCUCCUCACCUAUGAGAUUGAGAGUGAGUCGAGAGCGUAACCUUUGGGUUAGCCAAGCAGAUUGGGUAAAGAAUAUGAAUGGCAUAGCAGAUUUGCAUUCAUACCUUGAGUUGACAUUGAAACAUAGUAGCAUGCGUAGAGACAUCACUAUGUAGUAGCUUAUUUCCUUAUUGUUGAGACAUAGUAGCAUGUUGUAGAUACAUCACUAUGUGGUAGCUCAUUUCCUUAUUGUUGAGACAUAAUAGCUGUGUAGAGACAUCACUAUGUAGUAGCUCAUUUUCUUAUUGUUGAGACAUAGUAGCAUGUUGUAGAUACAUUACUAUGUGGUAGCUCAUUUUCUUAUUGUUGAGACAUAGUAGCAUGUGUAGAUACAUCACUAUGUAGUAGCUUAUUUUCUUAUUGUUGAGACAUAGUAGCAUGUUGUAGAUACAUCACUGUGUUAGUAGCUUAUUUCCAAGCAGAUUGGGUAAAGAAUAUGAAUGGCAGAGCAGAUUUGCAUUCAUACUUUGAGUUGACAUUGAGACAUAGUACCAUGCGUAGAGACAUCACUAUGUAGUAGCUCAUUUCCUUAUUGUUGAGACAUAGUAGCAUGUCUAGAGACAUCACUAUGUAGUAGCUCAUUUCCUUAUUGUUGAGACAUAGUAGCAUGUUGUAGAUACAUCACUAUGUAGUAGCUCAUUUUCUUAUUGUUGAGACAUAGUAGCAUGUUGUAGAUACAUCACUAUGUAGUAGCUCAUUUCCAUUAUUGUUGAAGUAUAGUAUCAUGAUUAGUAGAAUAUCAUUGCUAUGUUCAUAUAUUCCAUGAUUACAGAGGCAUAGUAGCAUGUGUAUAUUCCAUUACUAUGUAGCAGCUCUUUUCAUAUCUACCUAUCUAUCUGUUGCUUAUACCUACUUAGACCUAGUGGGAAGAUCGGCGGAGUCGGCGGCCAAACCCACUGGGAACUAUAUUUAUAUAGUUCUCACCCCACUUUGUUGCAGGGCAUAGCGAGAGCGUACCGGCAGAGAACCGUGGUAAGGGCAUAGCGCCCUAGUAGCUAGUAGCUUUCUUUAUGCAUUAGAGUACCGUCGUGUACAUAGAGAUGUAAAUGUAUUUGGAAGUUACUUAUGUAUUUGGAGAGCUAUUUUGUAUUAUGAGAAGAAUAUGUAUUUAUUUGGAAAGAUGAAAAUGUAAAUCAAUAUGAAAAAUGAGGUUGAAUGAAUGUAAUAGCUAGAUGUAUCUCUCUUUAUUUCACUUGUAUGUUACUUGUGAUUCUUGCUCUUAAUUGUAUAGCACUAGUGGUGCUUCGUCGUAUCAUGUAUGUUGAAUAAAUUUUUCCUGGGCAAAUUCUUGUACAUGAUAUUGUCGUUGAGCCUUGGGCGGACAGGGGAGGUGUUGUCCGUUCGGCGUCUGAUCGACGUGCCCGGAUCUGGCCAAAUUGGCGGGUCGCGGGGCGUGACACAACCACAUCCAUUCGAAUUUUGAAUAUCUAUCCAUCCAACAACCAAUUCAAAAUUUGAUUUCGAAUUUCGAAUCCCUAAAGGUGUGUUUGGUUCCACGUAAAACUGUGGAAAAAAAAAUUUUGGUGGAAAAAAAAUUUUCGGUGGAAAAAAGUUUUACGUUGUUUGUGUUUGGUUCGUAGGAAAAGAAAAGUAGUUUUCUAUGACAGUUGUUUGGUUGAAAGGAAAAGAAAAGCAGAUGGAAUUAAAACUAUUUAAUAUAUUUUUUAUUAUAUAUAUUAUUAAUAUAUUAUAAUUAUUAUAUAUAUUUUCUCUAAUUAUAUAUAUUACAUAUUAUUAAUAUAUAAUAAUUAUCAUAAUAUAUUUAAUUAUUCUAAUUUAUAUUUAUAAACAAAAUAUAUUUAAAAUAUAUUAUAUAAUAAAUAUAUAUAAUAUAUAAUAAUAUAUUUAAUAUUAUAAAAUAAAUUAUUAUAUAUUUAUAAAUAAAAUUAUAUAUAUAUAUAUAAUAUAUUAUAUUAUAAUAUAAAUAUAUAUUAAAUAUACAAUCAAAGAAGGAGAGCGAGGGAUCUACUGCGCUCUCUCUCUCUCAACUAACAGGCGGUCCCACGAAGGUAUUCUCACUCGUGACCCGCGCACAAAGAAUCCUAUAACCCCGCACAUUUUCCUACGUUACGUUUAUCAUUCCGCUCUUGCGGACCCGAAAAACGAAAGCCCCCCAAAUUCUUCAGCGUAUUCGUAAAAAAUAAUUUUCGGAGAAAUUUUUUAAGAAGAACCAAACAUCAGAAAAUAGAUAAUUUCAACUGAAAAUAAUUCUGAGUACUUUUACAGCAAACCAAACACCCCCUAACUGACUCCUCAAAAUAUCUCUUGCCGCCCCUUCUAUUAUAAAUAUGAGAAUAGAAAUCAAUAUGGGAGACGAUACGACAAAGGAGGAGAGAACAAAUAGAUAGAGAGAGACAAUAGAGAGAUUACGAUAAAAAAAGGAGAGAUAAUAUUAUUUUCACUCUUGCUACACGCGUUCCCACAUAAAAAAAAAUUCAAAGGAGGAGAGAUCGCCAAGCCGCGGAAAGGAGGAGAGAUCGCCGAGACGCGAAAAAGAGGAGAGAUUGCCGAGCCACUUCAUCCAAUCCACCAUCUGAUCAACAAGUAAAAAAAAAAAGAAAAAAGAAAAAAAUAUAAUAAAACAUAUAAAAAAAAAAUCUCUUUCCUCCCCCAUUUUUUUCUUUUUUUUUAGAUCCUGUUAUCGUAGUCAUCCAUACCAUUUAGACAACUUCGAUGGGAGAGUGGAGGGGAGCUAAUGUCUUAUCGUUUCUUCGGACUUCUCGAUAUCCCAUUCGAAGCUGUUAAUUGAUGGGAUGGAUGAUUUACAUUGCCGUGACCAUCUCCAGCAUCGCCGGUUCGGUAUUUUCGAAAGAAGAGGGGAGGGGAAUCUUCGAUUCCUCGUUUCUUCGGACCCUUCAACAUGUUUUGAAAAUAUCGAACCAAAUCAGCCGGUUGAACAGAUCCGAGCCACCGUCAUCAUCUUCACCGACGUCACCUCCAGCAUCGCCGGUUUGAUAUUUCCGAAAGAAAAGGGGAGGGGAAUUCUCGAUUCUCUGUUUCUUCGGACCCUUCAACAUCUUUCGGAAAUAUCGAACCAAAUCCGCCGGCCACCGUCAUCAUCUUCGCCGUCGUCAUCUUCAACCUUACCGGUUCAGUGUUUUCGAAAGAAGAGAGGAGGGGAAUCAAAGUUUCCCAUUUCUUCGGACCCUUCAAUCCCUUUCGAGAACAUUGAAUCAGUACACAAAAUUCUCAAACUGGUUCAGAUUCAAUCCAAAUCAAGAUCAAAACGGGGAUUUCUCCAGACCCCAAAUCAAGAUCAAAAUGGGGAUUUCUUCGGACCCCAAAUCAUAAAUCAAACGGGGAUUUCUUCGGACCCCAAAUCAGAAUCAAAGCGGAGAUUUUUUCGGACCUCAAAUCAGAACCAAAACGGGAAUUUCUUCAGACCCCAAAUCGAGAUCAAAACGAGAAUUUCUUCGGACCCCAAAUCAAGUUGCAAAAUCAAAAAGAAAUUUCUUCAGACCCUAAAUUAAAUUAGAAUCAAAAGGGGAUUUCUUCGGGCCCCAAAUCAAAUUAGAAUAAAAAAGGAGAUUUCUUCGGACCCCAAAUCGAAUUGCAAAAUCAAAAGGGGAUUUCUUCGGACCCCAAAUCAAGUUGCAAAAUCAAAAGGUGAUUUCUUCGGACCCCAAAUCAAAUUGCAAAUUCAAAAGGGAAUUUCUUCGGACCCUAAAUCGAAUUGCAAAAUCAAAAGUGGAUUUCCUCGCACCCAAAAUAGAAUUGAAAAAAAAACCAAGUUCACAUAAGAACCUAAAUCCGGACUCAAAUCCAAACCAAGUCCACAAAUAAAAUCCAAACCCAACCCAAGCCAAGUCCACAUAAGAACCCAAACUCGGACUCAAAUCCAAACCAAGUCCACAAAUAAAAUCAAAAUUUGAACCUAAACCCAAAUCAAAUCAAGUCCACUAACAAAGCCGAAACUUGAACCCAAAUCCAAAUCAAGUCCACAAAUAAAAUCCAAACCCAAACCCAAAACUCAAAUUUAAACCCAAACCCAAAACCCAAAUCAAAUCUAAACCCAAAUCCAAACCAAAUCAAGUCCACAAAUAAACCCAAACCAAGUCCACAAAUAAAACCCAAGCCAAGUCCACAUAAGGGCCCAAAUCCGAAUCAAAUCCACUAACAAAGCCGAAACUUGAAACCGAAAUCAAAUCAAGUCCACAAAUAAAAUCUAAACCCAAACCCAAAACUCAAAUCUAAACCCAAACCCAAAUCAAAUCCAAUCAAAAUCCGAAACCCAAACCUAAAACCAAAACCAUAAUCCAAACCAAGUCCACAAAUAAAAAAACCUAAACCUAAACCCAUAAAACCCAAAUCCAACCCAAGUCCACAAAUAAAAAACUCCAAACCAAAACCUAAACCCAAAAAACCCAAAACCAAACUAAGUCCACAAAUAAAACUUGAACCUGAAUCCAAAUCCAUAAACCUAACCUCAUGAACCAUAUACCAAGUUCAUGAACCACGAACCAUAUCCAUGAACCUUACCCAAGUUCGUGAACCAAAUCUCAUGAACCAUACCCAAGUUCAUAAAUAAAGUCUCAUACACCAAAUCCCUAAACCAUACGCCAAAUCCAUGAACCAUACACCAUAUCCCGUGGACCAUACCCAGAUUCAUGAACCAAGUCACAUGAACCAUAAACCAAACCUCAUAAAUCAUACACCAAGUUCAUGAAUCAUAAACUAAGUUCAUGAACCAUACCCUAUGAACCAUGAACUAAAUCCCAUGAACCAUAAACCAAGUUCAUGAACUAUAAACCAUAUCCAUAAACCAUACACCAAUCCAUGAACCAUACACCAUAUCCCAUGAACCAUACCCAAGUUCAUGAACCAUGAACCAAGUCCAUAAACUAAGUCCAUAAUCCAAAUUCAUGAACCAUAUCCAAGUUCAUGAACCAAAUUCCAUACACCAAGCCGAAUGGACCAUAUCCAAGUUCAUGAAACAAAUCCAAUAACCGAACACCAUGAACCAUACCCAAGUUCAUGACUCAAGUCUCAUGUUCAUGAACCAUAAACCAAACCUCAUGAACCAUACCCAAGUUCAUGAACCAUAAACCAAACUUCAUGACCAUACAUCAAGUUCAUGAACCCAAUCCCAUAAACCAUACCCAAGUUCAUGAACUAAAUAUCAUGAACCAUACAUCAAACCCUAUGAGUCAUAAAACUCAUGAACCAUACAUCACAUCCCAUGAACCAAAUCUCAUACAUCCCAUGAACCAAAUCCCAUACACCAAACCCAAUGGACCAUAUCCAAGUUCAUGAAACAAAUCCAAUAAACGAACACCAUGAACCAUACCCAAGUUCAUGACUCAAGUCUCAUGUUCAUGAACUAGAAACCAAACCUCAUGAACCAUACCCAAGUUCAUGAACCAAAUCUUAUGAGCCAUAAACCAAACCCCAUAAACCAAACCAUACCAAGUUCAUCAUAAACCUCUUUACUCUAGUAUAUAUACCUAGAGUAAAAAUCAAAUAUCGACUACCCCUAAUACAUGUACUUAGGGUUUAGUCAACCCCAUCCGCCUUAGCACACAUACUAAGGUAAAACAUCUCCAAAUCGACAGAGUUAUAAAUUAUAUAUUUAGAAUUUAGUCAAAUGAUAUCAAAUUUAUUCGAACUCUAACACAUAUACUUAGAAUUCAUUCGACUAACCCUUAACACAUAUCCUUUAGGGUCCAGUCAACCUUUUGCUCUAGCACAUAUACCUAGAGUGGAAGUCAAACCAAGCUUGAUUAGUCCUAACACGUACACUUAGGGUGUAGCACACUGGACCUUUGCAAAUUGCGAGGUUUGAGUGAUUGGAUAUGUCCUAAGCUUUUCCAGACUUUCUGGUGGGUCGUUGACAGUAUUCCGACCUAUAGUUCGAACCCCGAGAACUGAGGUUUAAAGCCUAGCACCAAAACCCGAAAAAUCAGAUUUUUGGUUAGCUCUCGAGUAGCCUUCAGAGGGCUGUGUACUGGUACGGGGUGAUGGCUAUACCAGUAUAGCCAUCAACAUUGGCUGCUUCUCAGCCAACCCGAGGCUCGGGUUUGGCUAUUUCGUAGGAUGUGUACCGGUACGUGGGCCCGUGUACCGGUAUGCAGUGACAGAUUUUGAAUGGUCAAAACUGCAGGAGUGUUUUUGCAUUGUGGCUUCUCUAUAUUAGCACCCACGCCCCUAGGGCUUUUUUCUGAGCUUGCCACAGCAGGGGUAGAGGUAAGGGAGCCCUCAUUGAUUUUCCUUUGAUUAUUCUUGGAUUUUGGUAGGAUUUUAAGAGAUUAAACUUCUCUUUUUGCUCUUUGGUGCAACUUCACCAUUGUUGAAGCUUGAAGCUUGGAUUUGGAGCCUUGUUCAGGGAAGAUCUUUGAUGUUAGAGAACUUAGAGCCUAGAUUAAAGCUUCUAAGAGGUAAGCAACUUGUUCUCUCCCUCUAGGUUUGAUUUUUAUUGAUGGUUUUGAGAUGAAACCCUAGAAUGAGGUUUUAGGGUUAAUUUUGGGCAUUUUUAAUCUAGGACUUUUGGGGCUAAAUUAGUUGGAUUAGAACCCUCCUUUGGGUUGGAUUGGAAGGAUCCUAGCCUUCUUUUAGAGCUUGUGGGAGUUUUCUUUACCCUAGGUGAGAUUUUAGCUCUUUUGCCUUGAUGGUUAAUGUUUGAUCUCAUGGUUGAUCGUAAUGCCCGUUAAUCUCUUCGCUCAUUAGUUUUAGGGUAUUUUGAGACUCGUGGACAACUCCGUUCGGCGAAACGAGGGAUUACGCGGCGGUUCGGUGGGUUUGACCUAGCCACACAAUGAGAAAAUCUCAUUUGUGAUGAUUUGAGUAUCGUUAAAUGAUAAAACAUGCGUAAUCAUGUUAGAUAUAUUUAUUAUGAAUUUUAGAAUGCUUAACAUGCCUAUGUAAUGUAUAGUAAAUUUUUAGACCUCUAUGUGGUAGAGUGCAUGCAUGUGAGAUAUAGCAUUCUAGUCGAGACUUGGAACCAUGAUUCCUAUUAUGGAAAUGAACAUUGCUUUUAUGCAUUUAACCUUUUUGCCCAAUUGUGACAUUAGAGACUUUAGAAGCCUAGAGAGGCUUGGGGAGUUAGACUAUUUGAGAAAUUGGGCCAAUGUCAUAAAGAGGCAUUGGGCCCGGGCUAUAGUGAAUAUUGGUAUUUAUGUUUUAAUUGGAACAUAGAAUAUGAAUUGGGCUUGAUUAGUUGUGAUGCUUAAGUGUCAUAAAGAGACACUAAGCAAGUGAGUGUUGGGAUAUCACAUUGUGACAUAGAGCUAGACCGUUUGGUUACUAGUAGCUAUUGCCAUGUUUGAGAUAUGAGGGUUGGAUACUUGAGCCUUAACUAUGCUUGCUUGCCAUUUGUGCUUAUUCGCACAUGCUUGUGAGGGUCGCUCUCUACAAGCCGGCACUCCGGAGUUAGCCUACGCCACCUAUGUUCGCUCGUGCGGUAUUGAGAAGCCUACGGAUGUAAGAUGUGGAUCCCGAGAAUCUAAAAGGUAAAAGACACCUAGAGGGGGGUGAAUAGGUGUAAACGGUAAAAAUUACUAAACUCGAUGCAAAUUCAAAAUAUAAUGCGGAAAAUAAAAUCAGCACACCGAGAAUUAACAUGGAAAAACUCCAAACCGGAGAGAAAAACCCACGGGACCGAUCACACAAAGAAAUCCACUAAGAAAACAUGAGUACAAGUGAUUUAGCAAAAAUACAAGACUCAAAAUACCGAAUCCUUGUUGUAGAUUAUCUUUACCAGUCCUCGAUCGCUUGGAAUCCUCUAACCGAUCACACUGCAAAUCCUUGCAGCCGCACACGCCUCGAUUCCUCGAAACGCCCACCGAAUCCACGGUCUUCACGUGUUACCCACGCGCUAACGCUCCAUUCAAAGCUCGCAG
rnacentral:lncRNA from 1 species